rnacentral:lncRNA from 1 species
GAAAUAUAGCUUAUCAAUUGUGCCAUCUGGGAUUUAUUCAAGUCUUGGAUCUUUCUUUAAACAUUAUAUCGGGAAAUAUACCAAAGUGUUUCAAUAAUUUUUCAGCCAUGACCUAUGAAAGAUGUUCCAAUCCUACCAUUGGGUUCGCCAAAUCUUUCUUAGUUCUCCCUGGAAUUGGAUAUUACUAUAAAUAUUUGGUCAAUUUACUGUUGACUUGGAAAGGAAGUGAAAAUGAGUACAAAAGUACUUUGGGACUUGUAAGGUGCCUUGACCUUUCGAGUAACAAAUUAGAUGGAGCAAUUCCUGAAGAGAUUAUGGAUCUUGUGGGGUUGAUUGCCUUAAACCUUUCAAGAAACAAUUUAACCGGACCAAUCACUCCGAAGAUUGGUGAGUUAACAUCAUUGGAUUUCCUGGAUUUGUCUAGAAAUCUGUUUUCUGGAAGUAUUCCAUCUAGCCUCUCUCAGUUAAGUGGUCUUGGCGUCUUGGACUUGUCGUACAACAACUUGUCAGGAAAAAUCCCAUUAGGCACUCAGCUCCAGAGCUUCAAUGCUUCAGUGUACGCUGGAAAUCUUGAACUUUGUGGCCUUCCACUCGCAAAUAAGUGUCCGAAUGAAGAAUCCACUCCAUGUCCAGGCAGAAAUGAUGGUGCAAACACUCUUGAGGAUGAGGAUGAUCAGUUUAUGACUCUUGGAUUUUACGUGAGCUUGAUUCUUGGUUUCUUUGUUGGAUUCUGGGGAGUCUGCGGAACUUUAAUGCUGAAUAGGUCGUGGAGACAUGGUUACUUCAACUUCCUGACUAGUAUGAAAGAUUGGGUCUAUGUGACAGCAGCUGUGAAUAUUGCCAAACUGCAAAGAAAGUUUAGGAACUAACUAAACGGUAAUACUCCUUAACAUUGGGUUUCAGUCAUUGUUGUCAGCUCACGUGCUUUUAAUUUCUUCAUCCUUAAAUUUUACUUUUUUCUCUUACAAGCUUUUGUUCCGCUAACUAAUUGCUCAUCUUCUUUUUUUUUUUUGUCAUUCACCGUCUUUUUGGCAGGGUAUCUCUGGGAUGGCAUCUUGCCCUUAUUACCUCAUAUUAAUCCAUUACAGCAAUAAAGGCAGUCAAAUUCUGCUCUGCUAUUGAUCAAUGUUUGCUCUUUUUUCCUUUUCAUUGGGUGAAUAAAUAAUAAAAGACAAAUCGAAUCUUUCUAUUUAAAGAGUUGUUGACUACUAAAACUACUAAAUGGAUGAUAAAAUUAAUUAAACUAGAAUAAUCUUAUUGACAAAGUAGGUGGUAGGUUCGUACGAUUCCGGAUCAUUGGUACUAAAAUGUGAAGGAAGAGAUCGAACUUUACAAGAAUUUGUUCUUACUGUAUUCGAACUGGUAAUUGAUUAAAUUUGAUUAAAUUUCUAUGAUGGUGACAUAUAAUGACUUAAAUAUUAUUUUCAGAGAAUAUCACACACGACUUUUCUAUCCUAAUUUUUAUCAAUUUUCCGAACGUAUCAUCACAUACCAUCACGUUCAAGACCCAGCCGACUCUAUAACUAAGGUGUUACUAACGCACAUUAAUAUUACAUCGCAUUUUCACUGCCAUGGCCAAUUUCAGUGUUUCUCAUCAUUACUCUCUAUUUUGGCAAGUAUGGUAGGAAUCUUUAAAACAACGUACAAGAAUCAAGGGGAAGAAAUAAGAAACUGUAAAGAAACAUAUAGUUUGUGAGAGCAUUCAAUUCAGUUCGUGGGGGCAUAAGCUUAAAUAAUUGAUGCAAUUUUAAGCGGUUUUUUUUCCCCCUUGUACAAGGCUAGCUCUGUGUGUGACACGAAAACACGAAAACAUGUAGAGAAAUUGGAUUAUUAAUUUUCAACAGAGAGUAUUAGAAUUUUUUGCAGCGUCAAGAUCAGAACCAAACUAGAUGACAGAUACAAUAAGGCAAGUGGUGAAGAAAUAGCACGAAGACAAUCAGAAAAAGAAAAUUUAAAUUUGACGAGCUCUAGAUGCUUAACCUAAAAAUAACUGAGAUAUUGCAGGUUUCUAUAAUAGGAAAGAUGACACAGAAAAAGCAUGGAAAAGCUCACAGCUCUGUUGAAAACCGAAAAUCCAGCAUUGGCUUGCAGCCACGCUCUGUCUCGUCCUGAAAUCAGACUGAAUUCUGGGUAUGUGUAAAACAGGACAGCAGCCUCAUCCAAUUAUGUUCACCUAUAAACAUUAUGAAGUCAUGACGUUUUUGUCUAUAAAUGAGAAAAAUAAAGUACUAUUGAUCUUUUGAGGAACAUAAUGAUAAUUCGAAAUGAAAAAUAGAUACGAACAAAUGCAUGUGCUAUGCGUAUUUAAAAAGGAGAUUCCCAUUAUAGACAUGCUCUUUAAGAGUUAAGAGACAUAAAGUACAUGGCAAUUGUAUGGUUCCCUUGGGCAUCCCAGUCAACCCAAAAUGGGAUUUUGGCAGGAUCAGGCACUAGAUUCCACCACAUUCCUCCCUUUUUUGCAAAAUAUCCGAGAUAGAUUAUCCAUAUUCUUUUUUUUUUAGCCCUCCACUCUAUACUCUUCUACUAUAAGUUAUCUACAUUUAAAUUUCUUAGUUUUGAUUGCAGCUCAUCGAAUCUGUCUUUUGUCUGUCAUAUAGCAGAUACAGAGACAGCUCUUGAUGAGCUUAAUUUGUUUGCCCAGUGCACUCUUGAUUAACAUUGAACCAAAACUGAAUUGAAAGAAUUAAGAAAAAGGAAAGAAAUAAAUAGUUUGAAGAUAUGAAAAAUUGUUUCUUUUUCUUUGUCCUAUUUUGAUGACAUGAAGACUUAAAAACAUAGUUAGAGAUUUUUUUUUUUUAAUAAUGAUUGAUCCUGCAAACGGAAUAAACUUCAAUAAAAAUAAUAGAGAUGUCGCCAAACAAUAUUUAGAGCGACAUAGUAAACAGAAGCAUAAAGCUAAAACACACAACAUAACUACAAAAAAUUAAAAUAAAUAAGCUGCAUCUGUAUAGAAUUUGUAGCUUGGAAGUUCAUUAAUGUUUUCAUUACUCGAUAGAAGAAGUAAAGCCAAACUAGUCAUCGAAAAAUUUUGGGUACUCCUGGAACAUUACUCCUUUUCCAUUUAUUGCUUGUCAUGUGUAUGAUUCAACGAAUCGUGAUAAUAUAUAUACAUACAUGGCAAGCAUUAAAUUAUUAAGGAGCAAUACUCCAGAAGCACCAAAAACCCAUCAUGUUAUGAGCGCCAUUUGACUACGAAAAGGUACAUAGUAAUAAAUAAUAAAAGAAUAAAAUACCAUUUUCAGAGAAGACUAUUGACUUGAAUGAAGACUCUGUAAUAUCAUUGAAUAAUACACAAGACAUUUCUAUCCUAAUUUUUAUCAAUUUUACGAACGUAUCAUCACAUACCAUCACAUUGCAUUGCAUUGCAUUACAUUAAAGACCCAGCUGACUCUAGCUAACGUGUUACUAACGCACAUUGCAUUGCAUUUUCACUGCCAUGCCCAAUUUCAGCAUUUCUCACCAUUACUCUGUGUUUAGGUAAGUUUGGUAGGAAUCUUCAAUACAAUGUAAAAGAAUCAAGGGAAGAAAUAAGAAACUAUAAAGGAAUAUUAAGUGGAAAAUUUAGUUUGUGAGAGCAUUUCAAUUCAGUUUAUGGGGGCAUAAGCUUAAAUGAUGGGUGUAAUUUUAAGAGUCUUUUCUCUUAAUCAACCAGCGUGAAUAAUAUUGCCAAAUUGUUAAUACUUAUAGUUUACCAAACAUGUGCCUGACUACAAUUUUGUCUAAUUGAUUAUUUCAAAGGAUGGAGCUAGUAUUAGGCAAGCGGGGGCAGUUGCUCUGGCUUGAUUAAAACAGCCGAUAAAUUGCAUUCAUUAUUUAAGUCUCUAUCCACGUGAACCUAAAAAUUCUAUCAAAAAAACUUCUAUUUGUUUAACGAUAAUUUAAAAAGACUACCAAGAAAUUUCUUUUCCAAAGGCAUAUUUACCUGAACGAAGACUUGUUGAGAAGGACAAAGUUUAGCUACUCCAAUGCAGAAUAUAAACCACAAGAGGCUAGACUUAACAAUAUAUCCUCAAUACCAAUGAUAAUUACAACAUCAUUUUCAGAGACCUUGUUAACUUACAUUAUAAGGUAACUUAACACCACCUCAUUUUCUGAGAAGACUAUUGACUUGAAUGAAGAAUCUGUUGUUGACUCAUGACAAAUCUCAAUCUUUCUUGUGCAUGCAUUACCACCUUAGUAAUUCAAUUUCAACCCUCUGAUUGUUUUGCCUACUGACAAGUUGCAGUAUUUUGAAUUACAAGUCUCCCGUCAUCACUUCCCCAUUCAGACAUUUGAUCGAACACCAAGCUGAAUUCUUCAAACACACUGCUAAUCUUAACUCUUAAAAUUUUCUGAUUGAAUUUAAAUGACAGUAAAUUUUUCAUUGUAGUUAAUUACAAGUUACUAAUUAAGUAUUUCUAUAUUAGUUAAUUGUAUGAAAAUAAUCGAUGAACUUAUCCUCCUCUGGAAUUAUGAAUCUAGAUUGUACUCUUAUAGGUAUUGGAAAUAAUCAAAAGCCACAGAGCAAGAAGAAAGUCAUUGAAGCCCUUGGAUUGGAUGGCUGCUAUUGCAUAUUAAGCUCCUGCUGCAGCAGCUAGUGCUAUUUUUUAAAUCUACUCAAUUGGUCAAGAAAGUUUUUUGGAUGCUUCUAAAAAUAUUUAUAUGUAUAGUAUCUUUGACUUAAGAUUGUACUCCAAGCUGAGAACCAAGACACAGUUAAACAAAAAGGUUUUCUUUUUGUGUUAGUAUUUAUAAAUUCAAACCUUGACACACUAGACUAAAUCUCUAACUUUCAUACAAACUACAAAAGAUAAGUCCAUGCAAUUGCAUCACACAAUCCAAAAGUAUGUCAUCACUAAAACCUGUAGAGAAAUUGGGUUAUUAAUUUUCAACAGAGAGCGUCUGAAUUUUUGCAGUUUUUGUAGCAUCGAGAUCAGAACCAAACUAGAUAACAAAUAUGCAAUAGGCAAGUGGUGAAGAAAUAGAGCGAAGACACCAAGAAAAGGCAAGUUUAAGUUGCAGAUGCUCAACUGUAAAAUAACAGAGAUAUUGCAGGUUCAUAUAAUAGGAAAGAUGGCACAGAAGAAGCAUGGACAAACUCACAGCUCUUUUGAAAGCCAAAACUCCAGCAUUGGCUUACAGCCACACUCAGUCUCGUCCUGAAAUCAGACUCAAUUUUGAUGACAUGAAGCCUUAUAAACAUAGUUAGAGAACAUUAAACUUUGUUCAUAUUGAAAAAUGGUUAACUCUUCCAUUUCUUGUCCACAUAAACCUUAAAGGCAGACACAAGGUCGCUUCUAGAACCUUUGACAGCGGCCACUAAACUAAGAUGAUUCAAAACAAAAAUAUCAUAUUCACAAAAAUAAGAUAUACAGGAACAGGGAACUCUUACGUUCUAUUGAUCAAACACCAUCUAUUCUACCUGAUUACAUUCUCAAGAGGAAUUGAAAAAAUGCUUCGGAUAGGAAAGUUUGUUGGAUGCAUGCAAGUUUAUUUGCCACAGAGCUUCCAUUAUGGAGCAGUCUUCUUUCAAUAUCUUAGGCCAUGCAAAAGGGACAUAACAUGUUAAUACAAGUUGGACAAAAAGCAUGUGGUUCUUAUAAAUGUGAUAUGUGAAUAAUGUGCGACCAAAACAAGUACAUCAAUGUAGUUCUGAGUUCUUUACAGUCAUAACCUGAAGUCUUUCGGGAUCAUCUCCGAUACUCUAUAUCUUAAGUUAACUUAUACCACCGAGGUAGAUACAAAUAAAGCAAUGAAAUAACUUUUACAACAACCUUCUCUGAUUCAAGUUUGUACCCACUAAUCCUUUAAAUUAUGGUCUUUCUUUUUCUUGAUUACUCUUAAGUAUCUCACAAUCAUCUUAUCCAAGAAUUGUCGUAGGUAGUGACCAAAACCUUACUUUGGGCUGGCUUUACUGCUUUCAGAUUUUUAGCUCCCAUAUCAUUAACUGACAACACUAAUUUUGAUGAAUUACAAGGAAGCCAUUUGGACUUCAUGCUCUCGCUCUCAAAGAGGCAAAGGUCCCAAUUCUCAAAUUCCAAAUAGUUAGGCACACCAGAAAACCCAAUUAUGUUUGCAUUGCCUCAUGGAUGUCAGGCGAACCCAAAUUCUAAAUAACUGCAAAUGAAUUUGAUUUGGGUAUGAGUUAAUUCAACAAUGAAUCAAUACAAUACAGUAGUAAAAUAUUUCAUUUAUGAAUGAAACUACAGGAUUUUCAUAACGUUUAAAAAUAAUAGUAUGAUAGGAUCCAACCAACAUAAACAAGUGGCUAACCUGUUAUGAAUCUCUCACAAAAACGUGGAGCUCUUAUAAGUAUUUCAAGAUGUUUUCUCCAUCAGUUUAUUGGCGGCAGAAUGCUUGACUUGGCUCUGCCAUACACCCGUCCAUGACCUUUUCCUACAGUAUGAAUGGACUUCUCCAAAUGGAACAUGAUGUCCGGCUCACACUACAUAUUAAGUAAUUAAACAAGAAACUGUAUCAACUUUCUUGGAAUUGCAAAACAAUGGGGACCCAAAUAAAAAAAAAAUCAACAAGCUCUGUAUUUUUCAAGAUGAGUCUGAAAUUUAUUCAUCUGUAUCAUGAGAGAUCUUACCAAAAUUCCAAAUCCACAGUCCGCGGUUUCAAAUAACAAGUACAUGAAUUCCAAAAUUGCAAGCUCAUUGUGGAACAAGAAAGAAAUAAUGUUAAUCAACCAUUUACUAUUAACCACUGUUGAUAAUCACCACCAAAAAGCAUACCAAAGUAAAAAUGAUAUCAUCACAGCACACACACAGAAGAAACAUUUAUGCAGCAUGUUUCUGUACAAAUACAAAAUUAAGCGAGACCCAGAAAAUAAAGAUCAAAUCGUUAGAAACCCCAUCAAGCAAAAUCAUCAAAAACCACUCAUUGUCAAUGUCAGCCUUACAUGUCACACCACAACAAGAUUUUGAUACUUGACGGUCGCAGCAUUGGCAAGAAUAUCGCAUCUUUGAACCCUAAUUGCAAUCUUGAAACUUCCAACGAUUGGCGUAGACUAAGAUCUCUGAGGCGCAUGUUAGCAACAAGGAAGCACAUUCACUACUGAGAUUGUGUGCCCGUCAUAAAGUCACAGAGCAACCCCAGAAGCAUAUAAUUUUAUCUUGAUUUAGAUUUCAAGCAUCAGAAAAUGAAAGUCACUUCGCUUAUAAUUUUAUCUAGCGAAUUUCUUUUUUCUAAUUUUAAAAUAAAUUAUUGAUAAAACAGGUUUACUAAUUAAUACUUUCAAAUAAAAUAAAAAAUAACGAUUAUAAUCUCAAUUACUUUCACCGCACGUGCGCCUUAAAAAACCACCUGGAAAUUCAAAAUCCAACUACAACGGCAGGCAAACAUCACUCCGGUUAAUCAAGUUGAGGAUGCCACGACGCUAUUUUUCGCUGCCAUAUUUGUCAAUAGCGGUUAGUUGUUGGCUCUUAAAUUUUACACACCAAACUUCAAUAGUGUUGAAAAAUCAAAGAGUUUUGGUUGAAAAAACAAAGUGAGCCACAUGCAUUGCUUUUGUUUUUCAAAGUCAGCACCAAAUUCCAAGCUGUAAAAUAUUUGGCAUUUGACAAUCCUGCACCAAAUGAAGAAAAAUGGAAAAGUUAGCAAAAUUUAUCAAAUUGACAAAUUGCAGAGGAGUUAGGUGGAAUAGUGCAAGCUUGAAGCUUAUAAAUUGAAGUCAUUUCCUCAUUCUAAAUUAUCCUAAAAUUGUUAAGUUUAUAAGUUUCUAAGCUUUUGAGAGAAGUGAGAGAAGUAUGUCUGUAGAAUUUAUCUUUCCUGCAGAGUAUGAGAGUACUGAGUAUAUUUGGGUUUCUGGGAAGUGAGAUUCGUUACUCAAAUAUUAUACUCUAUUAAUUAUUAAAUAAACAAUUAUUCUUUCUUGCCUCCGUGGAUGUAGGUUUAAUUACCGAACCACGUAAUUCUUGUGUCCUUUAUUUUUCUAUAAUUAUUUGGUGCGCUUGAUUCCGCAUUCCGCGCAUAACAAAUAGUUAAUUUUUCCAGAUAAACUUAAUUAUGACGUAACAUAAUAUUCAGUUUCCUAAAUACUAAAUUCAAAUUAGAGACAUCGCUAACGGCUAUAUAAUUCCUACGCGCCCAUCAGAUAGCUAUAUAAGUGCCCCCAACAUAACAGACACCGCCUUAUCGCAACACUACUUGAUUAACAAGCAACUGGGAGAUUUUUCAAAUCCUAAGUUUUUUUUUUAGUUUCCAAAUUCUUCUUCAUUCAUCAACCAAAUCCUACCCACCAAAAAUCUUCUCAAACCCAUCUGAUUCAAUCUUUAGCAGGGUUAUUCAUAGGAAUCAACCGUUUAUUCGCCGACGCAGUAUCAAUCACCAUUGGUUGUUCUUACCAUUUUUCCACGGCAAGGUUACAUGGAUGUUGAUUGUACGACUUUCUUUAUCCAUGCUUUGCAUUGCCGUGUGUUUGGGAUUCCCUGGUGACUUUUGUUGGCUUUAAUCCCGUGUGUUUGGGAUUCGCUGGUGACUUUUGUUGGCUUUAAUCAUCUCUCAAAUUGUCAUAUCCUAACCCAUAAGCAACGCUCAGAUUGAAGACUUUUCUUGGCUUCAAUAGUUGAUGCAGAUUAUACAAAGUAUAAAUUGGCAUGGAGUCCAGGAUUUUCGAUAUAACAACAUAUCCUCAAAGCUAAUGAUAAUUAUAAUGUCAUCCAAAUUGUUCCUUCUAUUUGAAAAUAUAGCUUUGUUUUCUGUGAUAUUUUUCCAAUUGAAGCCCACAAUUGCUGAUUCUAACAACAUAAUAAUAAGGUGCAUUGAUGAGGAGAGAGAAGCGCUUCUCACUUUUAAACAGAGCUUGGUGGAUGAACAUGGCGUUCUGUCUUCCUGGGGAAGAGAAGAUGACAAAAGAGAUUGUUGUAAAUGGAGAGGAGUCCAUUGUAGCAACACAACUGGCCAUGUCAAGGUGCUUAAUCUUCGAACAUCCGACGAGGAAAACGCUCAGAGGAAGGUCUUGAAAGGUGAAAUUAGUCCUGCUUUGCUUGAAUUGCAUGAUAUAAGACAUUUGGACCUUAGUAACAAUCACUUCAGUGCAAGCCCAGUUCCUGAGUUCAUUGGUUCCCUCAGCAAAUUGAGGUACCUCAAUCUCUCUUGUAGCAUACCUUUAGAACUCCCUCGAAAAUUCCGGAACCAUUCAGGAUUGGAAUAUCCCAACCUAGAAAACUCUAGUUUAUUUAGUGUGGGAAGCUUAGAGUGGCUUUCUCGUCUUUCUUCUUUAAGACACCUUGACCUGAGUUACAUUAAUCUCACUAAAUCUAGUGACUGGUUUCAAGUAGUUUCCAAGCUCCAUUCCUUAAAAUCAUUAGUCCUAUGCUCGUGUGCUCUUCCACCUGUCAAUCCAUCGUUUAUUUGGCACUUCAAUUUGAGUACGUCUAUUGAGACCCUUGAUCUUUCUGACAACAAUCUCCCUUCUUCUUCAGUAUACCCUUGGCUUUUCAAUCUUAGCAGGAAUAUUCUUUAUCUUAACCUUGGCUCUAAUUCAUUACGAGGUUCAAUUCCAGAGGCUUUUCAACACAUGGUUUCUCUUAAAAGUCUUGAUCUCUGUGAUAGCGAACUUGAAGGUGGGAUUCCAAAAUUCUUUGGAAACAUGUGUAGCUUACAAAAGUUAGGCUUGUCUGAAAACAAACUCAGUGGACAAUUCUCGCAGGUAAUUCAAAAUCUGUCAGGUGGAUGCGUGGUGAACUCACUAGAGUGGCUAUAUUUAGGUUAUAAUGAAUUCACGGGGCCUGUACCUCAUCUUGGAGGAUUUUCAUCCCUGGAAGCAUUGAAGCUUCAGUUUAAUCGUUUAAAUGGAACAAUAGACAAGAGCCUCAGCCAGUUGUCGAAGCUCGAGUCUCUGUCACUUCGUAGGAAUUCAUUCACAGGAGUUAUCUCUGAAACUUUUUUUUCCAAUAUGUCCAACUUGCAGAUGUUGGACUUGGAUGAGAACUCUUUGACUUUGAAAUUGAGCCAUGAUUGGGUUCCUCCUUUUCAACUGAAAUGGUUAAGUCUUGCCUCUUGCAAGAUGGGACCUCAUUUUCCAAAAUGGCUUCAAACGCAGAAUCAGCUUGUGCUUCUUGACAUCUCCAAUGUUGGAAUCUCAGACAGUAUUCCUGAUUGGUUCUGGGAUUUGUCCAGUAAACUCUCUUACUUCAAUCUCUCUAACAAUCAUAUUAAGGGCAACCUUCCCGAUUUGUCUUUAAGGUUUGAUGGUACUCGUAGUGGUGGUACUUGUAUAGACCUCAAUUCAAACCACUUUGAGGGCCCAAUUCCACCACUUCCUUCAAAUUCGUUGUUCUUAAAUCUCUCUAAAAAUAAGUUCUCAGGGUCAGUUACUUUCUUAUGUUCCAUCAGUGAAAACACAUGGAACUUUUAAGAUCUCUCGAGUAACUUAUUGUCUGGAGGGCUUCCCAAUUGUUGGUUGCACUUUGAUAGCCUAUUCGUUCUUAACUUAGCAAAUAACAGCUUCUCAGGAAAAAUACCGGACUUGAUGGGUUUCCUAAAUAACAUCCGAGCACUCAAUUUUCACAACAAUAGGUUAACUAGGGAAUUGCCUUCAUCUUUAAGGAAUUGCUCGCAACUGAGAGUUUUGGAUCUCAGGAAGAACGCAUUCUUUGGUGAGAUUCCAACGUGGAUAGGGGAAAGUCUACAAAAUUUGAUUGUUCUUAGCCUAAAAUCUAAUAACUUUCAUGGAAAUAUAGCUUAUCAGUUGUGCAAUCUGGGAUUUAUUCAAGUCUUGGAUCUUUCUUUUAACAUUAUAUCGGGAAAGAUACCAAAGUGUUUCAAUAAUUUUUCAGCCAUGACCUAUGAAAGAUGUUCCAAUCCUACCAUUGGGUUCGCCAAAUCCUUCUUAGUUCCCCCUGGAAUUGGAUAUUACUAUAAAUAUUUGGUCAAUUUACUGUUGACUUGGAAAGGAAGUGAAAAUGAGUACAAAAGUACUUUGGGACUUGUAAGGUGCCUUGACCUUUCGAGUAACAAAUUAGAUGGAGCAAUUCCUGAAGAGAUUAUGGAUCUUGUGGGGUUGAUUGCCUUAAACCUUUCAAGAAACAAUUUAACCGGACCAAUCACUCCGAAGAUUGGUGAGUUAACAUCAUUGGAUUUCCUGGAUUUGUCUAGAAAUCUGUUUUCUGGAAGUAUUCCAUCUAGCCUCUCUCAGUUAAGUGGUCUUGGCGUCUUGGACUUGUCGUACAACAAUUUGUCAGGAAAAAUCCCAUCAGGCACUCAGCUCUAGAGCUUCAAUGCUUCAGUGUACGCUGGAAAUCUUGAACUUUGUGGCCUUCCACUUGCAAAUAUGUGUCCGGAUGAAGAAUCAACUCCAAGUCCAGGCACAGACAAUGAUUCAGACACUUUAAAAGAUGAGGACGAUCAGUUUAUAACUCUCGGAUUUUACGUGAGCUCGAUUCUUGGUUUCUUUGUUGGAUUCUGGGGAGUCUGUGGAACUUUAGUGCUGAAUAGGUCAUGGCGGUAUGGUUACUUCAACUUCCUGAUUGGUAUGAAAGAUUGGGUCUAUGUGAUAGCAGCUGUGAAUAUUAUCAAACUGCAAAGAAAGUUUAGGAACUAAUUAAACGGUAAUACUCCUCAACAUUGGGUUUCAAUCAUUGUAAUCAGCUCACGUGCUUUUAAUUUCUUUAUCCUUGAAUUUUACUAUUUUCUCUUACAAGCUUUUGUUCCUGUAACUAAUUGUUCAUUUUCUUUUUUUUUCAUUCACCAUCUUUUUGGCAGAGCAUCUCUGGGAUGGUAUCUUGCCAUUAUUGGUCAUUUGAUAUUUGGAAUCAUUCAAAAAAAUUAACUCAUAUGACGCACAUUGUGUUGUUGAGUGUAUGCUUCAAGAAACUUAUAUGUGGUUCUCUUUAGACCAUCGUCGAUCUAUACGUUUAUAUACUUAGGUUAGAGUUCUGUUAUACUAUUAAUCCAUUAUAGCAAUAAAAGCAAUCAAAUUCUGAUCUGCUAUUGAUCAAAGUUAGCUCUUUUUUUGUUUUCAGUGGGUGAAUAAAUAAUAAAAGACAAAACGAAUCUUUCUAUUUAGAGUUGUUGACCAUAAAACUACUAAAUGGAUGAUAAAAUUAAUUAAUUAAUUAAUUAAACUAGAAUAAUCUUAUUGACAAAGUAGCUGGUAGGUUCGUACGAUUCCGGAUCAUUGGUACUAAAAUGUGAAGGAAGAGAUCGACUUUUACAAUAAUUUGGUUUUACUAUAUUCGAAUUGGUUAUUGAUUAAAUUUGAUUAAAUUUCUAUGAUGGUGACAUAUAAUGGUGAUGAUCAAAGACUUAAAUAUUAUUUUCAGAGAAGACUGUUGACUUGAAUGCAGACUCAGUAAUAUGAUUGAAUAUCACACAAGACUUUUCUAUCCUAAUUUUUAUGAAUUUUCCAAACGUAUCAUCACAUUCAAGAUCCAGCUGACUCUAUAAUGUAACUAACGUGUUACUAACGCACAUUAAUAUUACAUCGCAUUUUCACUGCCACGGCCAAUUUCAGCGUUUCUCAUCAUUACUCUCUAUUUUGGCAAGUAUGGUAGGUGUUUUUUUCCCCCCUUGUACAAGGCUAGCACCGUGCGUGACACUAUCGGCACACAACAGUGGUGAAUAAUAAAAAGUUAAGUGUGUGAACAAUAUUGCCAAAUUAUUUUUUUUUUUUUUGAGGAGAACUAUUGCUCAUGAUAUUUACAACCAUACAAAUUACUAAGACCAAUUUACAUCAACUCUGAUAUGACACCGCUCAGAUUUUUAACCCUCUCAAAUAUUCGAGGGACGCCUACUCCCCUCCUGGGAGAAAGACUGCCUUCACUCAAGCCCUUACUUGAUUAGAACAAGCGGUCGCAAAUUGUAUUCAUCAUUUGAGUGUCUAUCCCCAUGAACUGAAUUGAAAUACCCCCAUGAGUUGAAGAAUUUAAGCUCGUACCCUUGUCAAUUUAUGGUGCGUUUUCUUCAUGUAAUGGGUAUGUGGUGGAAUGAGAAUGAGCUGGGAAUGAGGCUGAAAUAAAAAUAAAGAAUGAGAAUAAGAUUUUAAUGUUUCCUUGACAAAAAUAAAUGGAAAUGAGAAUAUACUGGAAUGCCAUUGAUGUGUUUACUUGGCAAAAUAAAUGGAAAUGAGAAAUGUGAAUAAAAAUCAAUUUACCAAAAUACCCAAAUAUUAAAUAAUGUAAUUUUCAUAAACUAGAUACAUAUAUAAAUAUUAUUAUAAAAAUGAUAUUAAUUAAAAAAUAAAAUUAAUAAUAAUAAUAAUAAUAAUAAUAAUGAUAAUAUUAAUAAAAAUAAUAUUAAUUAAAAAAAUAAAAUUAAUAAUAAUAAUAAUAAUGAUAAUAUUAAUAAAAAUAAUAAUAGCAAUAAUUAAUAAUAACUAAAAUAAUAGAGUUAAUAAAAUUUAAUAAUAAUCAUAAUAAUAAUGACAUUUAAAAUAAUAAAAUUAAUAAAUUUUGAUUAUAAUAAUAAUAAUAAAUGUUGAUAAUGAUAAUAUUAAUAAAAUAAUAAUAACAAUAAUUAAUAAUAACUAAAAUAAUAAAGUUAAUAAAAUUUAAUAAUAAUAAUAAUAAUAAUAAUAAUAAUAAUAAUAAAAACUCGUGUAAGUGACUUCAUUCAAGCGUGUGAUUUGAACGAGCAUAAUUCGGAAAAUAUGAAAAAAAAUAGAGGGAUACAAAAGUCAGUUCAGGAAAUGAGAAUCCCCAUUUCCAACCCUCCACGUGAAUGAGAUUCUUAUUUCUUAUUCUCAAAUUGUGUGAGACCCACAUAUUUUAUUCUCAUUCCCAAAUUAUAUUUUGCCAAAUAAACAUAAGUUUCAUUAUCAUUCAUUCAUCCUCAUUCCCUAAACCCUCAAGUAAACCACCGUUAAUUGAAAUGCGCCAUGAGUUGGAAGUUGCCAUCCCUUAAAUUGAAUUCAUUAUUAAGUUGCCACUGUAAACUGACUUUUGUCUCCGAUUAUUUCGUCAGCCCACAAACAAUUGAUAAUUACAUAAGCAGCACGCAACAAUCACAAACCGGGCCUAAGAAUGAAGCUUGCUUUGUUUGAGAAAAAGAAAAUGCUAAUAGAAACAAGAUAAAUUUGGUACCAAUUUAUUCACUUAAUUUUUUUUUAAAAAUAAACCAACACCCAAUUUACUCUGUUUCUAUCAGCGCUAAUCAUCAUUUUGUUUGCUUACAAUUAUUGUCAUGGACUCCAGGAUUUUGGAUAUAACAAUAUAUCCUGAAUACCAAUGAUAAUUACAAUACAUUAUAAUGCAACUUAACAUAAUAACAUCACCCCAUUUUCAUAGAAGACCAUUGAUUUGAGUGAAGGCUCUGUUGUUGACUCAAGACUAUUAACUUAAUGAUUUCUUGUUCUUUCUUGAGCAUGCAUUACCACCCAUGUGCUUCAAUUUCAACCCUCUGAUUGUCUUGCCAACUGAUCAUCACAAAAGGGUCCUCUUCUGAAUUCAUAAGUUGCAGUAUUUUGAAUUACAAGUCUCCUGUCAUCAAGUCUCCAUUCAGAUAUUUGAUUGAACCCCAAGCUGAAUUCUUCAAACACGCUGCUCAUCUUAACUGUUAAACAAUAAACUUUCAUUGUAAUUAAUUACAAGUUACUAAUUAAGUAUUUCUAUCAAAAACUAUUUAAAAUAAUUGAGGAACUUAUCCUCCUCUGCAAUAUGCGCUCGCAGCCACACCAAUCACUCCUUAAAGUCGCAUAAGAAAAAAUAAUGUGUUAAUCCAUGACAGCAGCCUCAUCCAAUUUGAAUAUGGCAUCAUCAUAUCUUAAAUAGAUAAUAUUAUGAUCUUUAUACGACAGACUACAUGACAUUUUAACUCAAUAAAUUGCAAACAAAAGUAUGGAGACAAGUAUAUUUAUUAAGAAGACAAUUAAUAACCAUUUUAUUAAAGGGUUAAAAGGCAUGUAAGUACUUUAAGGCAUGUAUUUUCACAGAAACCAUCUUUCUUCUACCAUCUCUCAUCUUUUCACCUUUUCAUUAUUUUCCCAUUCUUCAAAAUUUCUCUCUUCUAUAUUUCUCAAAUUAUGGUGUAUAUAUGUCAAAGGCAUGUAUUUUCUGAUUUAAGGGGCUGCUGGAAUUAGGAAUAUAGCUUGUACUCUUAUAGGUUGUUGGAAAUUAUCAAAAGCCACAGAGCAGGCAGAAAGUCAAUGAAGCCAUUGGAUUGGAUUGCUAUUGCAUAUUAAGCUCCUGUUGCUGCAGCUACUGCUACUUUUUAAAAUCCACUCAAUUGGUCAAGAAAUUUUUUCAGAUGCUCCUAAAAAUAUUUAUAUAUAUAAUAUGUUUGACUUAAGAUUAUACUCCAAACUGAGAACCAAUACACAGUUAAACAAAAAAGGUUUUCUUUCAGCUUUAGUUUUAUAACUCCAUCCUUGACGCACUAGAUUAAAUCACUAACUUUCAUACAAACUACAAAAGAGAAGUGCAUGCAAUUGUAUCACAAAAUCCAUAAAGUGUGUCAACACGAAAACAUUUAGAGAAAUUGGAUUAUUAAUUUUCAACAGAGAGUAUUAGAAUUUUUGCAGCGUCAAGAUCAGAACCAAACUAGAUGACAGAUACAAUAAGGCAAGUGGUGAAGAAAUAGCACGAAGACACUCAGAAAAAGCAAAUUUAAAUUUGACGAGCUCCAGAUGCUUAACCUAAAAAUAACAAAGAUAUUGCAGGUUUAUAUAAUAGGAAAGAUGACACAGAAAAAGCAUGGAAAAGCUCACAGCUCCGUUGAAAACCGAAAAUCCAGCAUUGGCUUGCAGCCACGCUCAGUCUCGUCCUGAAAUCAGACCGAAUUCUGGGUAUGUGUAAAACAGGACAGCAGCCUCAUCCAAUUAUGUUCACCUAUAAACAAUAUGAAGUCAUACGACGUUUUUGUCUAUAAAUGAGAAAAAUAAAGUACUAUUGAUCUUUUGAGAAACAUAAUUCUUUUUUUUUUUUUUUUGGCUAAGAAACAAAUCUUUUGAGAAACAUAAUGAUAAUUCGAAAUGAAAAAUAGAUACGAACAAUUAAGUGGAAAAUUUAAUUUGUGAGUGCAUUUCAAUUCAGUUUAUGGGGGCAUAAGCUUAAAUGAUGGGUGUAAUUUUAAGAGUCUUUUCUCUUAAUCAACCAGCAUGAAUAAUAUUGCCAAAUUGUUAAUACUUAUAGUUUACCAAACAUGUGCCUAACUACAUUUUUGUCUAAUUGAUUAUUUAAAAGGAUGGAGCUAGUAUUAGGCAAGUGGGGGCAGUUGCUCUCGCUUGAUUAAAACAGCCGAUAAAUUGCAUUCAUUAUUUAAGUCUCUAUCCACGUGAAUCUAAAAAUUCUAUUAAAAAACUUCUAUUUUUUUAACGAUAAUUUAAAAAGACUACCAAGAAAUUUCUUUUCCAAAGGCAUAUUUACCUGAACGAAGACUUGUUGAGAAGGACAAGGUUUAGCUACUCCAAUGCAGAAUAUAAAACACAAGAGGCUAGACUUAACAAUAUAUCCUCAAUACCAAUGAUAAUUACAAAAUCAUUUUCAGAGACCUUGUUAACUUACAUUAUAAUGUAACUUAACACCACCUCAUUUUCUGAGAAGACUAUUGACUUGAAUGAAGAAUCUGUUGUUGACUCAAGACUAUAGACCUGAAUGAAUUCUCGAUCUUUCUUGUGCAUGAAUUACCGCCUCAAUAAUUCAAUUUCAACCCUCUGAUUGUUUUGCCUACUGACCAUCACAAAAGGGUCCUCUGAAUUGACAAGUUGCAGUAUUUUGAAUUACAAGUCUCCUGUCUUCACUUCCCCAUUCAGACAUUUGAUCGAACACCAAGCUAAAUUCUUCAAACACCCUGCUAAUCUUAACUCUUAAAAUGUUCUGAUUGAAUUUUAAAUGGCAGUAAAUUUUUCACUGUAGUUAAUUACAAGUUACUAAUUAAGUAUUUCCAUAUUAGUUAAUUGUAUGAAAAUAAUCGAUGAACUUAUCCUCCUCUGGAAUUAUGAAUCUAGAUUGUACUCUUAUAGGUAUCGGAAAUAAUCAAAAGCCACAGAGCAAGAAGAAAGUCAUUGAAGCCCUUGGAUUGGAUUGCUGCUAUUGCAUAUUAAGCUCCUGCUGCAGCAGCUAGUGCUAUUUUUUAAAUCUACUCAAUUGGUCAAGAAAGUUUUUCGGAUGCUUCUAAAAAUAUUUAUAUGUAUAAUAUCUUUGACUUAAGAUUGUACUCCAAGCUGAGAACCAAGACACAGUUAAACAAAAAAGUUUUCUUUCUGUGUUAGUAUUUAUAAAUUCAGACCUUGACACACUAGACUAAAUCUCUAACUUUCAUACAAACUACAAAAGAUAAGUCCAUGCAAUUGCGUCACACAAUCCAUAAGUAUGUCAUCACAAAAACCUGUAGAGAAAUUGGAUUAUUAAUUUUCAACAGAGAGCAUCUGAAUUUUUGCAGCUUUUACAGCAUCGAGAUUCAGGACAAAACUAGAUAACAAAUACGCAAUAGGCAAGUGGUGAAGAAAUAGAGCGAAGACACCAGGAAAAGGCAAGUUUAAGUUCGAUAAGCUCCAGAUGCUCAACUGCAAAAUAACAGAGAUAUUGCAGGUUUAUAUAAUAGGAAAGAUGACACAGAAGAAGCAUGGACAAACUCACAGCUCUUUUGAAAGCCAAAACUCCAGCAUUGGCUUGCAGCCACACUCAGUCUCGUCCUGAAAUCAGAGUCAAUUUUGAUGACAUGAAGCCUUAUAAACAUAGUUAGAGAACAUUAAACUUUGUUCAUAUUGAAAAAUGGUUAACUCUUCCAUUUCUUGUCCACAUAAACCUUAAAGGCAGACACAAGGUCGCUUCUAGAACCUUUGACAGCAGCCACUAUACUAAAGAUGAUUCAAAACAAAAAUAUCAUAUUCACAAAAAUAAGAUAUACAGGAACAAGGAACUCUUACGUUCUAUUGAUCAAACACCAUCUAUUCCACCUGAUUACAUUCUCAAGAGGAAUUGAAAAAAUGUUUUGGAUAGGAAAGUUUGUUGGAUGCAUGCAAGUUUAUUUGCCACAGAGCUUCCAUUAUGGAGCAGUCUUCUUUCAAUAUCUCAGGCCAUGCAAAAGGGACAUAGCAUGUUAAUUCAAGUUGGACAAAAAGCAUGUGGUUCUUACAAAUGUGAUAUGUGAAUAAUGUGCGACUAAAACAAGUACAUCAAUGUAGUUCUGAGUCCUUUACAGUCAUAACCUGAAGUCUUUCGGGAUCAUCUCCGAUACUCUAUAUCUUAAGUUAACCAUUUUCUGUAUCAUUUUACAAUUAUACAACAAAGAUUAUCAGUCACUCCUUAUACCACCGAGGUAGAUACAAAUAAAGCAAUGAAAUAACUUUUACAACAACCUUCUCAGAUUCAAGUUUGUACCCACUAAUCCUUUAAAUUAUGGUCUUUCUUUUUCUUGAUUACUCUACUUAUCUCACAAUCAUCUUAUCCAAGAAUUGUCAUAGGUAGUGACCAAAACCUAACUUUGGGCUGGCUUUACUUCAGAUUUUUAGCUCCCAUAUCAUUAACUGACAACACUAAUUUUGAUGAAUCACAAGGAAGCCAUUUGGACUUCAUGCUCUCGCUCUCAAAGAGACAAAGGUCCCAAUUCUCAAAUUCCAAAUAGUUGGGCACACCAGAAAACCCAAUUAUGUUUGCAUUGCCUCAUAGAUGUCAGGUGAACCCAAAUUCUAAAUAACUACAAAUGAAAUUUGAUCUGGUUCUGAGUUAAUUCAACAAUGAAUCAAUACAAUACAGUAGUAAAAUAUUUCAUUUAUGAAUGAAACUACAGGAUUUUCAUGACGUUUAAAAAUAAUAGUACGAUAGGAUCCAACCAACAUAAACAAGCGGCUAACCUGUUAUGAAUCUCUCACAAAAACGUGGAGCUCUUAUAAGUAUUUCAAGAUGUUUUCUCCAUCAGUUUAUUGGCGGCAGAAUGUUUGACUUGGCUGCCAUACACCUGUCCAUGACCUUUCCCUGCAGUAUGAAAUGGACUUCUCCAAAUGGAACAUGAUGUCCAGCUCACACUACAUAUUAAGUAAUUAAACAAGAAACUAUAUCAACUUUCUUGGAAUUGCAAAACAAUCGGGACCCAAAUUUUAAAAAAAAAUCAACAAGCUCUGUAUUUUCAAGAUGAGUCUGAAAUUUAUUGAUCUAUAUCACGAGAGAUCUUACCACAAUUCCAAAUCCACAGUCCGCGGCUUCAAAUAACAAGUACAUGAACUCCAAAUUAGCAAGCUCAUUGUGCAACAAGAAAGAAGUAAUGUUAACCAAUCAUUUACUAUUAAACACUGUUGAUAAUCACCCCCAAAAUCCCAGGGAACAAUUCAUACCCAAAAAGCAUAACAAAGUAAAAAUGAUAUCAUCACAACACAUACACACAGAUGAAACAUUUAUGCAGCAUGUUUCUGUACAAAUACAAAAUUAAGCGAGACCCAGAAAAUAAAGAUCAAAUCUUCAGAAACCCCAUCAAGCAAAAUCAUCAAAAAGCACUCAUUGUCAAUGUCAGCCUUACAUGUCACACCACAACACGAUUUUGAUACUUGACGGUCGCCACGUUGACAAGAAUAUCGCAUCUUUGAACCCUAAUUGCAAUAUUGAAACUUCCAACGGUUGGCAUAGACUAAGAUCUCUGAAACUUCCAACGGUUAGGGAACAAUUUUUUUUUUUUUUUUUUUUAUAAUGAUUGAUCCUGCAAACGGAAUAAACUUCAAUAAAAAUAAUAGAGAUGUCGCCAAACAAUAUUUAGAGCGACAUAGUAAACAAAGCAUAAAGAGUGACAUAGUAAACAGAAGCAUAAAGCUAAAACACACAACAUAACUACAAAAAAUUAAAAUAAAUAAGCUGCAUCUGUAGAGAAUUUGUAGCUUGGAAAUUCAUUAAUGUUUCAUUACUCGAUAGAAGAAGUAAAGCCAAACUAGUCAUCGAAAAAUUUUGGAAGCUCCUGGAACAUUACUCCUUUUCCAUUUAUUGCUUGUCAUGUGUAUGAUUCAACGAAUCAUGAUAACAUAUAUGCAUACAUGGCAAGCAUUAAAUUAUUAAAGAGCAAUACUCCAGAAGCACCAAAAACCCAUCAUGUUAUGAGCGCCAUUUGACUACGGAAAGGUACAUAGUAAUAAAUAAUAAAAGACUAAAAUAUCAUUUUCAGAGAAGACUAUUGACUUGAAUGAAGACUCUGUAAUAUCAUCACAACACAUACACACAGAUGAAACAUUUAUGCAGCAUGUUUCUGUACAAAUACAAAAUUAAACGAUACCCAGAAAAUAAAGAUCAAAUCUUCAGAAACCCCAUCAAGCAAAAUCAUCAAAAAGCACUCAUUGUCAAUGUUAGCCUUACAUGUCACACCACAACAAGAUUUUGAUACUUGAGGGUCGCCGCGUUGGCAAGAAUAUCGCAUCUUUGAACCCUAAUUGCAAUAUUGAAACUUCCAACGGUUGGCGUAGACUAAGAUCUCUGAGGCGCAGGUUAGCAACAAGGAAGCACAUUCACUACGGAGAUUGUGUGCCCGUCAUGAAAGUCACAGAGCUAUCUUGAUUUAGAUUUCAACCAUCAGAAAAUGAAAGUCACUUCGCUUAUAAUUUUAUCUAGCGAAUUUCUUUUUUCUAAUUUUAAAAUAAAUUAUUGAUAAAACAGAUUUACUAAUUAAUACUUUCAAACAAAAGAAAUAACGAUAAUAAUCUCAAUUACUUUCACCGCACCUGCGCGUUAAAACAACACCCGGAAAUUCAAAAUCCAACAACAAUGGCAAGCAAACAUCACUCCGGUUAAUCAAGCUGUGGAUGCACCACGCCGUUUUUUUGCCUUGUUUGCCAAUAUCGGUUAGUCACUAGUGCUUAAAUUUUAUGCCCCAAACUCCAACUACUCAUUUUCCCGAAUAAAUUUAAUUAUGACGUAAUAAAAUAUCUAAUUUCCUAAAUAUUAAAUUGAAAUUAGAGACAUCGUAUAUAAUUCAUGCACACAUAUCAGACGGCUAUAUAAGUGCCCCCAACAGAACAUACACCGCCUUAUCCCAACACUACUUGAUUAGCAAGCGACUGAGAAAGUUUCCAAAUCCUAUAUUUUUCAGUUUUCAAAUUCUUCUCCCAUUCAUCAACCAAAACCUACCCACCAAAAAUCUUCUUAAACCCAUCUGAUUCAAUCUCGAUUUCUGAUUUCAUCGAUCGCUUUUUGAUUCUCAGAACACCAACACAAUGUCUCCUCACGUUGGAUUAAGAUUUUAUCUAACAGAACAAGAAUUGCUGGAGUUCUAUCUCCUUCACAAAAUUACCCAAAACCCUAAUCUCUACCAAGCCGGUGAUGAUAUUCCAAUGAAAGAUUGUGAUCUCUAUGGUCCUCAUGAUCCAAACUUGAUUUGAGAUUUGUACGGAAGAGACCAAUUAAUGGGGGGUCAAGCACUCUACUUCUUCACCCAGUUAAAGAAGGUGUCUGCUAAGGGUUUGAGGUUCGAUAGAAAGAUUGGCUUCGGUGCUUGCCAGGGUGAGGACAGAGCCAAGCUUAUUCUCGCUGUUAGCUCUAAAGAUCAAAUUCUAGGGUCCACGAAGAGGUUUAGGUAUGAAAGUCGUAAAAACUUGGAACAAAAUGGGAGGUGGAUUAUGCAUGAAUUCACCAUUAAUUCAGCCUUGUUGGGUGAUCAAUACUCGCAUAAAGCGCACGAUUUUGUUCUCUGCAGCGUCAAAAAGAACGAAUCGAAAAAGUGCUCGGAGAAAGCCAAUUUGGGCAGAAAGAGAUCUUCUGGUUCCAAGAGAAAGUUGAAGGAAGUAGUGACCUCCGGCAGCCACACUGAUCACGAUAAUGAGUGCUUUCAGAGCAAACGCUUAAAGGCUCAUCAAAAUUCGAUAUUGAUAGAACAAAACCACUCACCGUGUUCGAGUAGCAGUCUGAACCCAGUGGAGCACCAAGGGGAGAUCAUACAUUUGGUGCCUCAAUAUUCGACUCUCUUUGACGUUGAAGGAUAUAGGGGUAGUCUUAUCCAAAUCCUAGAAGAGGAUAAGCAUGAUGAGGGUAGUCAAACUGGUCAACAGAGGGCUGAAGCAGAGGCAGUUUGUGUUCAACAGAACCAAGCAAAUGACAUCCCAUGCUCCAGUAACAACAAUGUGCAGACUGAGGCAGUCCUGAACAAGCGACAAGAGGCUAUUGAAGAAGAGGCACUUUUGGCUCAACAAAAUAAUCCAAUUGAGUUGUCGUGCCUUGAUAACAUCUGGGACAUUGUGGAAUCCGAAGUGGAGAUUGAUUCUUUACCUGACAGACUUGUUUUUGAUGUGGACGAGCUUUUGUCUGAACUCGAUGGGGUUGCUGCCUGUAGAGUUUCUAUCGAGGGUCAAUCAAGUGCUUAAUCGAGUAAUGUAAUUGCAAGUAAUGCACUAGAGAGGAGUGGGAAAUUCUAAUCUCACUCUUGCUCUCUCUGCUUUGUCAUCUGAUUUUGUGAAAGCAAUACUUGGAUAGAGUUACUGCGGUUGAGAAACAAGUCGUCGUUCGUGGCUGCACCUGUCAAGUUACACGAUCUGCUUUUCUACGUUAUGCAAACAGUUUGUUUCUUUUUCAAUUGUAAUAUAAUCAUGUCAUAUUUCAUUUUUGAAAUGAAGUUAUGGCUCUAAUUAUAAGAUUUGUUUAAAAAAUUGAUAUUCCAUGAGUUUUAUGCUUCGCACAUAUAUCUAAAUUGAUUAGUUUCAAAAGCAGGGGCAGAUGAAUGAAUCAUUGUGAUUAUAAUAAGAUUUUGAUGAAAGUUGAGGUUUUUUUAUUGGAAGAAUCGGAAGUGGGGAUUUACUUUUUAACUACAUGAAAAUCUUGUUCCGGUUCAAGAAAAGGUUUAGGUAUGAAAGUAGUAAAAAUCUGGAACAGAAUAGGAGGUGGAUUAUGCAUGAAUUCACCAUUAAUCCAGCCUUGUUGGGUGAUCAAUGCUCGCAUAAAGCACUCGAUUUUGUUCUCUGUCGCAUGAAAAAGAACGAAUCGGAAAACAACUCAGAGAAAACUUUCGUUUCCUAUGAUUCCAUAUUUGGGCUGCAUGUGUCCCUCACUUUUGACGCAACAGAGAACAAACUUGAGUGCUUUAUGCAAGUAUUAAUCACCCAACAAGGCUGGAUUAAUGCUAAAUUCAUGCAUAAUCCACCUCCUAUUCUGUUCCAGAUUUUUACGACUUUCAUACCUAAACCUUUUCUUGAACCCUAGAAUUUGAUCAUCAGAGCCAACAGCGAGUGUCCCUCACUUUUGCAAUGGUUUUGCUUUUUAUUAGUCUUUCAGCAAAGCUUAAGCACUUCUUGUUAAAUCUAACCUCUUUCAGUUACAUAUGGCCAAAAAAUAUGGAAGGCAACUUGUGAUGAGUAACUUUAGUUCAUAUUUUCUAAUUAAUGGCUAUAUUCCUCUUUAUUUUGGUAGCUUCUUGGGAAGCAUAUCCUGAAGAAUCUUUCUUAUUUCAUUUUUAACAUUUUUAGGUACCAUCUUGAAGAAUUUUUUUCUCUCUUUUUUUCUUUUCAGUUUUAAAAUUGUUAUCCUUAAAAUCUCCAGUGGGAAAAGAAAGGAUAAACAUAUCGAGUUUUAUCUUAGUUUUGGUGCAGUGGUUUUGGAAGCUCUAAAAAGGAGGAAAGAUUCUUGAUGCAGCUAAUAAAUGAUUGAAUAUGAACUUUUACCAAACAAGAAACGGAAUACUCAUUGAUUGUUGGAUUGUGGUGUGCACUCCCAAAUCAUAACCGGAACAAGAUUUUCAUGUACUUAAAAAGUAAAUCCCCACUUCUGAUUCUUCCAACAAGAAACUUUGUUGUUUACUUUCCUUUCACAAACUAUGAACUAAAUUUACUUGUAAUUGAGUGAUAAACAAUCUUAAUAGGUUCUUGAUUGAAUUUAUAUGUUGUGUAUCUGCUAUAGCAUUUUGUUUUGGUAAAGCUUAUUUUAUUCAUUAUUUCGGCUGACCACCAAUUUAAUGAUACAAGCUAGGAAAGAGCCAGAAAAUGGCAUGUCUUAGUGGAACAUAUCAGAACAAUACUUGGUUUUAGAUUGGGUUUCUUAGAUUGAGUUUAACUUGAUUCCAAAAGGGCCAUGCUUAAUCUAAAAUUUAUGAUGAACUAGAUAUAAUGAUUCAUCUUUUAGGGUAAAUAGAACCUAAACGUGUAAUAUUGUAUCUUAUGUUGGCAUAACAAUUGGUCACUGUUAGGUUGCAUAUAGAUAUAAGACAUCUCACAUGCGACAGCUGAGGAUAUAUGAGGAUUCUACCUAGUGCUGUAGCAGAUGCUACAACAACUAAACCAAAAUUUGCAAGAAUUAGUCAAGUCCAUUAAGAGAGUUUAGUCACUCAUCUACUUUAUUCCUAUUGAUUUUAUCCUUGUGUUUUUGACGUGAAAGUUUGCUUUUUUGCAUAUUUACUUAUUCCAUUUUAUUAGAUAGUUUAUUAGUUUAAUUGUUCAAUCCACUUUCUAUUCAAGCAAAACUGUUAAGGUUGUUAUAACAAUUUCUACAACAUCAAUCCAUGUGGAGACGAUUUUAAAUACUUUUUAUUAUAUCACUUGUUGUGUACACUUGCACAUUGACACCCCAUAGCAUUUGAAUUUAAACUCAACAGAACGUCUAUUGAGACCCUUGAUCUCUCUGACAACCAUCUCUUUUCUUCUUCAGUAUACCCUUAGGAAUAUUCUCUCUGACAACCAUCUCUUUUCUUCUUCAGUAUACCCUUAGGAAUAUUCUUCAUAUUAACCUAGGCUAUAGCCAUUUGCAAGGUUCAAUUCUAGAGGCUUUUCAAAACAUGGUUUCUCUUAGAUUUCUAUCUCUCUCUUCUAAUUAACUUGAUGGUUGGAUUCCAAAAUUCUUCAGAAACAUGUGUAGUUUAAAUAUAUUAUACUUGCACCACAACUAUCUUAAUGGACAGUUCUCGGAGCUAAUUCAAAAUAUGUCCGAAGGAUGUACAACAAAUUCACUUGAGGAGUUACAUUUACAAUACAAUGGCAUCUCAGGGCCAAUACAUGAUCUUGGAGCAUUUUCAUCUCUAAAAGUAUUGUAUGGUGGAGAAAAUCGUUUAAAUGGAACUAUAAACAAAAGCCUCACUCACUUGUUCAAGCUUGAGACUUUUUCACUUGAUGGGAAUUCAUUCACAGGUGUUAUCUCUAAAACUUUCUUUUCCAAUAUGUCCAACUUGCAGGAAUUGUUCUAAGCUGACAACUCAUUGGUUUUGAAAUUGAGCCAUGAUUGGGUUUCUCCCUUUCAACUGAAAUGUUUAAGUGUCGCCUCUUGUAAGAUGGGACCUCAUUUUCUAAAACGGCUUCAAACUCAGAAUCAACUUACUUCACUUGAUAUCUCUAAUACUGGCAUCUCGGAUACUGUCCCUGAUUGUUUUUUAGAUCUAUUUAUUGAACUCUUUCUUCUAAGUCUCUCUAACAACCAUAUCAAAGGUAAGCUUCCUGAUUUUUAUUUUUUAAAAUCUAAUGAUAUUGUUAUAGAUAUCAGUUCAAAUCACUUUGAGGGACCAAUUUCACUACUUCCUUCAAAUUCUACAUUCUUGAAUCUCUCCAAAAAUAAGUUCUUAGGGUCAAUUAUGUUCUUGUAUUCUCUGAUUGAAAAUACAUGGAAUGUUUUUAUCUCUCAAGUAACUUUUUAUUUGGAGAGCUUCCCAACUGUUGUUCGCAUUUUGAUAAUCUAUUUCUUCUUAAUUUGGCAAAUAAUAGCUUCUCCAGUAAAAUUCCAAACUCGAUGGGCUUCCUACAUAAUAUUCGAACACUGAGUUUACACAAUAAUUGGUUAACCGGAGAAUUGCCUUCAUUUUAAAGAAUGGCUCAUAACUGAGAGUUUUGGAUCUUGGAAAGAAUGUAUUGUUCGGUGAGAUACCAAAAUGGAUAGGCGGAAGUCUUCAAAUUUGAUUAUCUUAAGCUUGAAAUCUAACAAUUUUCAUGGAAAUAUACCUUUUCAGUUAUGCCAUCUGGCAAUCAUUUAGAUCUUGGAUCUCUCUUUUAACAAUAUAUCCGGAAACAUACCAAAGUGUUUCAGUAAUUUUUCAGCCAUGAGCCACGAAAACAAAUUCCAAUCCCAUCAUUGGGUUGGCCUACAAUAUCUGGGUUCUCCUUCGAUAUGUAUAUCAGUAAAGAUAUUUGGACAAUGUUAUGUUGACAUAGAAAGAAUGUGAACAUGAGUGCAAAAAUACUUUGGGAUUUGUACCUUGACCUUUCAAGAAACAAAUUAUGUGGAGUAAUUCUUGAAGAGAUUAUGGACCUUGCGGGGAUGACUGCCUUAAACCUUUCAAGAAACAAUUUAACUGUACCAAGCACUCCAAAGAUUGGUCAGUUAAAAUCAUUGGAUUUCCUGGAUUUAUAUAGAAACCACUUUUCUGGAAGCAUUCCGUCUACCCUUCCUUAGUUAAGUGGUCUUAGUGCCUUGGACUUGUCAUACAACAACUUGUCAGGAAAAAUCCCAUUAAGUACUCAGCUCCAAAACUUUAAUGCUUCAUUUGAUACUGGAAAUCUUGAACUCUGUGGCCUUCCACUUCCAAAUAAGUGUGCAGAUGAAGAAUCAACUCCAAGUCCAAGCAGGGAUGAUGAUGCAAACACUCCAGAAGAUGAGGAUGAUCAAUUUAUAACUCUCGGAUUUUACGUGAGUUUGAGUCGUGGUUCUUAGUUGGAUUCUGGGGAGUCUGCGGAACUUCAAUGCUGAAUAGGUCGUGGAGAUAUGGUUACUACAACAUCAUGACUAGUACCAAAGAUAGGCUCUAUGUGACGGCAGUUGUGAAUAUUGCCAAACCACAAACAAAGUUCAGGAACUAAUUAAACGAUAUUACUCCUUAAGUGUCAACUCUCAAGUGUGUUUUAGUCAAUAUUAUUGGCUCUCAGCCUCUCACAUAUGAUUUUAAUUUCUUAAUCCUUAAACUUGACCCUUUCCUCUUGCAAGCUUUUGUUUCUCAAAUUAAUUCUUACCAUUUUUUUUGUCAGGGUCUUACUGGGAUGGCUCGCAUUAUGUCUUUAUUAUUUAGAGUGCUCAUUUUGUAUUUGGAAUCUUUCAAAAAAUAAACUUGUGCUCUCAUGUGAUGCACAUUGUAUUGUUAAGUGUAUGCUUAAAAAAACUUGCAUGUGGCUCUCUUUAGACCAUUGUCGAUCUAUGCAAUUAUGCACUCUUGUUAAGAGUUUAAAUAUACCAAUAAUCCAUUACAACAAUAAAGACAGUCAAAUUCUGUUCUGUUAUUGAUCAAUGUUAGCUUUUUUUUUCUUUUCAUUGGGUGAAUAAAUUUAACUUUUAUUUGGCAAAUAAAAAAUAUCUCAGAUUUUUGCAUGUAUUACACCUCUCAAUUAGUAUUAACUGAAUAUUUAGAUUAGGGAAAUUAUCAUUUAGAUUAGGGAAAUUAUCUCUACACCACCUUUAUUUUUUUCAUAUGUAUAUCUAACUACUACAAAAUUUUGACGUAUUCUUUACACAAUUUAUGUUUCUAAACUUGCAUUAAUCAACCAUUUUGAGCUAAAAAUAACUAUUUUAACACUAAAUAAAUUAAAAAACUAUUUUAUUCUACAAAAUUUUUAAAAAAUUAUAAUUACAAAAAUACCCCUAAAUUCAAUAAAACAAAUAAUCUCAAAAUUCAAGAUUAUAAUUUCAAGUGAAAUUAUAAUUAUAAAAAUUAAUAUCUUGUAAUUAUAGUUUCAUUUAAUUUUUGUAAUUAAAUUAGGUAUAAGAAAGUUUACAAAAAUUGACAUGACGAGAAAAGUUUCCUAUAAUUAUUAUAAAAUUCCCUAUAAUUAGUAUUAAGAAACUUCCCUAUACAAAUUAAAUCAAAAUAUAAUUAAAAAAUUAUCAUGAUAACUUUUAAAUGAAAUUGUAAUUAUAAAAAAUUAAUAUAUUGAAUUUAGAUUUAUUUUAUUAAAUUUAGGGGUAAUCUUGUACUUAUAUUUUUUUUAUUUUUCAAAAUUUUGUGGAAUAAAAUAGCCUUUUUAAUACAUUUAGGGGUAAAUAUAGUUAUUUUUUAGUGUCAGAGUGGUUUAUUGAUAUAAACUUUAAAAAAAUGAGGUGUAAAGAACAUGUCAAAAUUUUGAUAUGGUUAGAUGUAUAUAUGCAAAAUAAAGGCAGUGCAGAGAUAAUUUUCUUUGGAUUAACUCUCUUUUUUUAAUGAUUUAUACCGCAAAUGAAAAAAACUUUGAUAAAAUAAUAGAGAUCUCAUUAAAAAAUAUUCAUUACUCAAGGUGACAUAGUAAACAUAGGCAUAUUCUAAAAAACAAAAGGAGUAAAUAUUAGUAUAAAGCUAAAACACACAACACAACUACAAAAAGAUUAAAAUAACUAGGUUGCAACGGUAGAGAAUUUGUAGCUUGGAGUUCCAUUAAUGUCUCACUACUCGAGAGAUGAAAAGUAAACCUAAACUAGUCAUCGGAAAAGUCUUAGGUGCUCCUGAAGCAUAACUCUUUUUGAGAGCCCGGCAUGGUGCCGGCUACAAUGACAACGGCAUUGUAGCCAAACCCUUAUCUUUAACGUCAAUACUUCUUUUCAAUUGAUUGGAUUGCCAGUCAAUAACACGAUCGCGUAAAUUGCGGUCCGUGACUUCCAAGAUUAAGAAAAAAUUGAUGUUUUUUUGGAUGGAAAAAUAGCUUUAUUUAAGAGUUGGUUAAGCCACGUUAUCUUCUUUCAAGAAAUUAUUUUCUAUUCACAUCAUAUAUACUUGACUUUUUGACCUAACCGACAUCCACUAGAAUUUAUUAUUAUUAUUAUUAUUAUUAUUACUGCUACUAUUAUUUUUUAUGUAAGUAACAAAAGAAGAGAAAAUUUUGUUAUGACAGAAAUUGAGAGUUUUUAUUAUUAAGAUAAUAUUAACUAGUAUGGUUAAUUUGAUCAAAUCCAAAAUUAAUUAUUGUUUAGGAAAAAGUUUUUAAGUGUUGUAGCUCUUUGUACGUAAUUCCUUAACGUUGAUACGAGCUUAGUAAUUUUUAACUAUUAAGAUAAAAUUUUGACAUACGAGAGUCGUUACUCAUUAGUCUGAAAAAAAAAUGAAUAAAUAAAAUAAAAGAAGUGGGAGAAGAAAAUUUAACCACAAAAAAAUAAGAGAAAUGAGAGGUGGUUAUUUCUAGACGGAGCUUGAUUCAAAGUCACAAAAUAAAAUAACAUAAAUGACACAACCACAAAUACUUGUACAAAUUGAGUUAGCAAGUUAUAUGACAUAAUUAGAUUGAUUGGAUAAAAUACCAUAUGUGUUAAUUAUUUUCCUAAGUAGAAUCUUGGAGAAAAGGAAAAGUAAAAACCCUUCUUCUUAGUUACUAGCUAAUAAUAUUAUGUUUACUUAUUGGGAUAUUCAUUUAUGUCGCAUCUCAUUUCUAUUGAUUAAUUAAGUUCUUAAAUUCAUAGGUUAAAAAUUAACAAUAAAAUCUAUUAAUAAUCAGUAAAUAGCAAAAAUGAAAAGAAAGGAAGAGAAAAAAAAAGCAUCAAGGACUUACAAAGUCAAUUAAAAGUUGAAAGCUGAGAGUGAAAACUCUUAGUUAUGUUAUAAAUAGCAUAGAGCCCUCCCAUAUUCGUUGCAGAGAAAGAGAGAGCGUGCAUGUGUAUUUGAUUAUAAAGAGAACAAGCGGCUCAAAAAUGGUGAUGAUGUCAGUUUGCUUCUUGUUAACAAUAAUAUUAGAAGGGUGUUGGAGUACGGAGGGAUGUUAGGGGCAUGAGAGAUCUGCUCUCUUAUUACUUAAACAUAAUUUCUUUGAUGAUCCUUUCAAUCUUGAAAACUAGAUGGAUAAUGAGAAUCAUUUAGAUUGUUGCAAGUGGGAAGGAGUUGAGUGCAACAUCUCCUCAGGCAGAGUGAAAGCACCAUAUCUUAGUAAUGGAAUAUCAUUUUGGUAUCCGACAAUGCAGCAUCUGAAUGCUUCCUUGCUUACCCUUUUUGAACAACUUGAGUCUCCUAACUUAGAAAACAACAACAUAGUCAGUUUUGUUGAGAAUGGAGGUACUUAAUAAGUUUUAUCAGUUCCAAAAUUUUGAAAAUUUUUUAAAAAGUUUAAUUUUGAAAUAAUUAACACAAGUCUAUAUGAUAUGUUUUACGAGGUCUGGAGAGGUUAUCAGGGUUAAGCAACUUGAAGUUUCUUAAUUUAGGCGGUAACCUAUUUAACAAUAGCAUCUUCUUAUCUCUAACUAGUCUUUCAUCACUAAGAACAUUGUUAUUGCGUUCUAAUAGAUUGAAAGGAAGUAUUGAUAUUAAGGGUAAUUAAGCUUCAUCUCUUUUAAGGUCUACUAGAAGCAAAAAUAAGCUUCAUUAAUUAGUCUGUCACUAGAAUCAGAUAUUUGUAAUGCCAUAUUGCUUCCUUCAUUAACUCUAUUUAAGUCUUGGCAUAUGCCAUAUACGUAAAACUGGAUUGCUUGAGCAAUUUAAAGGUGUUGGACAUGGGCCUGAAUCAAAUUGAAGAUUUUAGUGAUCGUCUAAAAGGUAAUUAAAUGAAUGUGAAGCUUGAAGUAGUUAUAUUUUGUUAAAAGUGAAUGAGGUGGCGUGUUGAGCUGGCAUCAGUGGGGACCAUCUGCUGUUAAAGUUGUUAUUAUGUAUAACAACUUAUUUCUUUUUUUUAGAUAUAUAUAAGAGGAAUUCGAGUUGGCAGAUAGGGAAACUUAGUGAUUGAUUUUGAGAGUCGCAAUGAGUGAGACAAAAAAAUCUUAGUAUGGAAGAUUUAAUCCCUAUAGUCUUAAGAAUCUUUUGUAACUCAUCUCUUUCUAAUAAAGUUUCAAAGCAAAGUUGAUUUCAACUGUGGAUGUAGGCAUCUCUCUUCCGAACCACGUUAUAUGACCUUGUUAUUUUUCUUUCUUUCUUUAGUUCUUGCUUGCUCUUGGUCCUGGUUUCAUUCAAUUUCUACUUUCUUGGUUUGGUUCUCUCUAGAAGAGGCUUUGUUUUUUUUUUAAUUAAAUUAUAACAAACUGGUAUCACAGCAUUAGUAGUUUGUUGUUCUUGGCUCUAUAAUGGCUACCACUAGAUUUGAUCUUGAAAAAUUCAAUGGGGAGAAUGAUUUCUACUUGCGGAGCCUUAAGAUGCAUGCAAUCCUCAUUCAACAUGGGCUUGAUAGUGCCGUUGAGUAAGAUGAUGAUCAAAAGGCUAAGAAAGAAAAGGAAGAAGGCUCAUCUAGUUUUACUGGAGAUAGGAAGACCAUCAACAACAAAGCAUAUAACACCAUUAUUUUGUAUCUUUUAGAUAAAGUGCUAAGAGAGGUGAUAAAAGAAAGAUCUGCAUCUGGAUUAUGGGCAAAACUUGAGGAACUACACUUGAAUAAAUCUUUAGCUAAGAGAUUGUAUACGAAGAAGAAGCUCUAUACAUUCUAAAUGAAGACAGGGACCAAUAUGAAAGAUCAUUUGGAUAAGUUUAAUAAACUGAUCUUGGAUCUUGAAAAUGCAAAUAUUGUCUUGGAAGAUGAGGACAGAGCACUUAUUCUUUUAAGUUCAUUACCAGAUUCAUAUGAACACUUUGUAGAUAUUCUGCUAUAUGGCAAACAAACACUUACUCUAAAGGAUAUCAAGAAUGCUCUAGAAUCAAAGGAUUUGAAGAAAAGAACAGAAGACAGGGAUUAGAACCAAGGUGAGGGUCUAGUUGCCAAGUUUAGACUAAAGAAGAAAGCUAAUAAAGAUAAAAAGAAUAAUAAUUAAAAGGAUAAAGCUGAUAUGAAAAAAAAAAUGUUACUUCUAUCAUAAAAAAGGACAUUACAUCAAAGAUUGUUUUGAGAAGAAGAAACUUGAAAAGCUGCAGGAGGAGUCAAAUGGUAAAACUGCUAUUGCAUCUGAAGACGAGGGAAAUACUGAUGGUACGGAUGUUCUUAUUGCUGCUAAGAAACACCCAUUGGUGAGUGGAUUCUAGACUCUAGAUGUUUUUUUUUUCAUAUAUGUCCAAAUAGAGAAUUCUUCAAGACAUUUGAGAGUAUAAAUGGUGGCAAAGUCUUUUUAGGAAACAACCUUGCUUGUAAGGUUCCAAGAAUUAGUACUAUUAGUAUCAAGAUGUUUGAUAGGGUAACUAGGGGACUGAAAUAAGGUAUGUUCAAGACUUGAAAAGAAAUUUAACUUCCCUAGGGAUGAUUGAUCAAUUGGGUUGCAGCAUUAAGGUAGAGAUUUAGUCAAUAUUGCCAGCUAUCUAAUGCACUCAUAUAUAUUGUAAGCUCAUUUUAUCAUCUAAUCAAUGCUCGGUCAACAGAAAAAGAAACUUUUUGCACAAGCUCAAUUUUAAUCUGGUCUUGACUCAUCUUAAGAUUUUUGAGCCUCCAGAAUCCAAAUUUGAUAUCCGUUUAUCUAUUUGGAGCCUCGAAUUACGUGAAAUUAAUAUUUUACCUAAUAAACACACAAAAAUACACAAAAUUAGAUAUAGUUAAGACAUAAUUAAUAAUCCCUAAUAUAUUGCAUAAACACAAAUUAUAAUAUAAGUACAAAAUAAUAUUUUUAUCGCUUGAUAAUCAAACAAUAUUUAAUACUAAUCAACAUCUUUCUCUAGUGAUAACAAAAUAUAGUCCUAUCUUAAAUCAAAUUUUGUCAAUUUAAUUUUGAAAACCCUCUUUUUGCAAAAAGUAUUACUACCAAUAUUAUAAACAACUUCCUACGAACAAAGCACACAAUUAUUUUAGCAAAAUAAACACAACACCGAAUAAAGAUAAUAAUACUUUUCAAAAAGAAAUGAGACAACUAAAUAACAAAAUAAUUAAGAGGAGAAUAUAAAGAUAAAACCUGAAAGUUUGAGAUAAAAUCAUAAAGUAACUUUGAUGGUUUUAGGUAUUAAGCAUUAACCAAUGACCAAAAAGAAGAAAAAUAAACAAUUGAUUUGUUUCUAAAAAGUUAUUACUAGUAUUAGAAAAAACAAUCGGUGACAAGCAUUUAGUUGCUGUACAAAUUAAAAACAUCAGCCCUUGAACACAAUGAUAUUUUCAUAAAGAAAUAAGACAACUAAAUAGCAAAACUAAUUAUGAAUAGGUUAGAAAGAUAAAACCUAAACAUUUGAUAUGAAAUCAAAGAUUAAGUUUGAUGAUUUGAGGCUUUAAGCAGUAACCAAUGGCUAUGAAAAGCAUAAAAAGUAAAUUGCUAUUCUUUUUUUUUUUUUAAUUAAUGCCCUUAUUGUGUCAUUGUUUAAGGAAGAAAUAUUGUUAACGGAUAAGUUCACAAAUAUAGGGUUUUGUUUUUUAAAUGGAGGUUUAAAAGGAAUAAACAAUGUUUUAGUUAAAAUUUAUUAAUUUAAUGUCACAUAGAGAUUUUAUAGGGAUUAAAACUAUUAAUUCUAAUGAGAUUUUGUAGGGAUUUCGAUAAUUUAUUUCGGUAAAGAUAAUUAUAAAGCAAUAAUAAAAUAAAAUUAAUAAAUACAGAAUUAUGAUUGAGUUUGCUACAAAUUACGAAUUUUUAUCUUUUUAUGUAUAAAAUAAUAGAUUUAACGUAACUAUGGGGCCUUAAUCUAUAAUAGGCCCUAUCAACUGCCUAAUUUGUCUAAGGGAAGAGUCACUUAUGAGUGAGAAUUUUUUGAAAUUCAGUCAUGCGUCCGAUGCCAAGCUCAGAUUACCGUUUUUCUUAUUUAUUGAUUUUGAGGUUUAAGAACUGUUUCACACUGUCUCGAUUCCUAACAGCUUCAGGGAGCAAGGGCGUUACACUCUUCGAAUCCUGAAUUUGAUCAAUAGCAAACAUGUCGUCACAUACGAUCACAUGCAAAACAGAGUUGAGAAGCCACCUGGGCAAAAUUAAAAAUAAGCCAUGGCUCAAAAUUUGGGGGGAAAAAAUAGAACUUACCGUUAUGUGAGAUAGUGUUAGCUUCUCUAAACAAAAAACAAAAAGAAAUUAUAGACACAACAAAAAGAAAUUACUGUGGAGGGUGGAGACUAAGAGAAGAGAAAGAAAGAGUGGAUUUGAUGAGGUGAAAAAAUUAGGGCGGGUUAUGCCCUAAUUUUUGUUUUCACUUAUAUAUUUUGUCUUAUUAUCCUUAAUAACUCCUAAAUUAGUCUUCAAAUUUUAUAACUUUUAAUAAAAAUUUAAUGAUAAAUAAAUGAUUUAAUUAAAUGAAUGGAUUGUAUUUGAUUCGUUUAUCAUCCAUUUAUUAAACGAAUUAUAAACAAAUAAAUGAAUAAAUAUCCUUAAACUUAGAUUCAAUUUGUUUAUUUAGCGUAUUGAAUUGAAUUCACCCAUUUAUUAAACGAAUCAAUUUGGUAUAAAGCCAAUUUGAAUCUGAUCACAGACCGGUUUUGGUUCGUUUUGAGCGCAAUGGUAGAGGAAUGGGGAGUAUAAAGCCUUUCCGGUUUCUAGCUGCCUGGAUGACAGAUAAUCGGUUUGGGGAUUUUAUGCAUGACAAUUGGCAGAGAAAUAUGCCUUAUGCUCAAGCAGCUUCUAACUUCACAAGUAAGGUAGCUACUUGGAAUAGGGAAGUUUUUGGUAAUAUUUUUAAAAGGAAAAAAGAAUUGCUGGCUCAUCUUGGCGGGGUUCAAAAAGCCUUGGAAAGGCAGCCUCUCAGUAGCCUGUAUCGUCUGGAGGUACGGUUAAAAAAGAAGUUGGAAGAAGUUCUGUCUCAAGAGGAGCUGUUAUGAUAUCAAAAAUCUCGCAGAGAGUGGAUUAAAUAUGGGGAUCGGAAUACAUCAUUUUUUCAUCAAAAAAUCAUUACAAGGAGGGCUCGUAAUCGCAUCACUGCAAUCAGGGAUGAUGGAGGUAAUUGGCUUUAUGAAGCUCAAGAUAUUAAAACCCAUGCUGUGACAUUUUUCUCUACACCAUAUAAAUCUUAACAGGAUACAUAUAAGCCGUAUCAUAUGCGAGGGUGUUUCCCUCAAAUUGACCACACCCGAUUGGCGAGUCUUGCUGUGCCGGUGGAGAAGGAAGAAAUUCAUGAGGCAGUCUGUCAGAUGAGUCCUCUCAAAGCUCCUGGAAUCGAUGGCUAUCCUGCUGGGUUUUAUCAGGCUCAGUGGCAUAUUGUUGGUGAGUCUUUUAGUUCUGGUAUACAGGAAGUCUUUAAUUCGCACAGGAUCCCCAGAGAUGUUAGUAAAACUCUCCUAGUCCUGAUCUCAAAGACUGAGCGUCCCACAUCCUUCAGGAUGUAUCGCCCUAUAAGUUUAUGCACAGUAUUUUAUAAAACAGUAACCAAGAUUAUUGUGAAUAGACUCCAAGCUUUACUCCCUGAUCUUGUUGGCCCUCAUCAGACAAGUUUUGUCCCCGACCGGCAUAUUACGGAGAAUAUCAUCAUCGCUCAAGGGGUUGUCCACUCUAUGCGACGAAAGAUGGGUAAAAAAUGUAUAAUGGCUAUUAAGAUUGAUUUAGAGAAAGCAUAUGAUAGAUUGAACUGGAAUUUUAUUCAUGAGACUUUAAGGGAGCUAGCUUUGCCAUUCGAGCUCGUCCAGUUAAUAAUGGAGUGCAUUACUUCUAAUAGGAUGAACAUUUUAUGGAAUGGGGAAUUAACGGGGGAUUUUGCCCCUAGUAGAGGUGUUCGGCAGGGUGAUCCGUUGUCUCCUUAUAUUUUUGUUCUCUGUAUCGAGAGACUGAGUCAUGGAAUCUAUCGCUCAAUCCAGCAAGAACAAUGGAAACCAAUUCGUUUAGCUCGAAUGGGUACCCCCUUAAGCCAUUUAUUUUUUUGCCGAUGACCUACUUCUUUUUGCCGAGGCUUCUAGUGCACAAGCUCUCUUAAUAAAUUCAGUCUUAGAUGAUUUUUGUUUUAGCUCUGGCGCAAAGGUGAACAAAUCCAAGACUCAAGUCUAUUUUUCUAAGAAUAUCUCCGGGGCUGUAGCUGGCCGAUUAGGGCGUGAACUGGGGUAUACAAUCACAAAAGAUUUGGGCAAUUACUUAGGCAUGCCUCUGCUGCAUCGCCGGGUUUCAAAACAGACUUAUCAGGGAAUUCUGGAUAAAAUGCAGCAAAGACUUUCGGGUUGGGCUGCCUCCCAACUGUCCUUUGCAGGGCGUAUUACUCUCACCCAAUCUGUCCUCCAAGCAAUCCCUAUAUAUGCUAUGCAGUCUACUAAUUUACCGGCUAGUAUCAAGACUAAAAUUGAUCAAGUUUGCAGAAGAUUCUUGUGGAGUGGAAAUGACGAAAUGCGUAAGAUGAGUUUAAUUAGUCGGCACACUAUAUGUCAACCGAAGCUGGCUGGUGGGCUAGGAUUUAAGAGAUUGGAGGUUAUGAAUGAAGCGUUAUUGUUAAAGGUUGCUUGGAACUUGAUCACCGAACCUGGUAAGCUUUGUGCCCAAGUACUAGCUACAAAAUACAGAGUGUCUCUCUCGGAUAUCCCGCAAUUUCUUCCCACUCGGCAUGGCUCUCAUUUGUGGAGGUCUGUGUGUCGAGUUUGGGAUCAUGCCAAGCGAGGAUUACGUUGGAAUGUUGGUAAUGGACUGAGAGUUCAAUUUUGGUGGGACUGUUGGGCCCCUUGCGGCUUUUAUUUUGAAACCAAUACCUCCUGAACUUUGUGAUUUGUAUGUGGCUAACUUUGUGACUGCAGAUGGCACCUGAAACUGGCCGAAGUUCAGCUAUCUUUUAUCCCAUAAUGCAGUGAUGCGCAUUGCUUCAGUCCAUCCCCCUUCGGCGCGGAAUGGUGCUGAUAAAGCUUACUGGGCAGCUGCAACUCAUGGAAAGUUCACAGUGAAGUCAGCAUAUGACCACUUGGCUCAGCCAUACUUGCAUGAAAGGGAUAUGAUCUGGCGCUUGGCGUGGUCGUGGAAGGGACCGCAGAGUAUAAAAACUUUCAUCUGGUUGGUGCUGCAUAAUCGUUUGAAGACGAGGGGAGAGUUAGCUGAACGACAUUUAACCAUUGAACCACAUUGUGAGAGAUGCAGGUAUGAGUUGGAGACCACGAUCCAUGUGCUUCGUGAUUGUCCUUAUUCUAGAGCAGUAUGGAUUCGACUUCUUCGGGACAAUAAUCAUCAUGAUUUUUUCAACAUUGAUCUUGCGGGGUGGAUGUCAAGAAACUUGCAAGCUUCAAACAAGUCUCCAGGUGGAAACCUUUAGCGUGUGCUGUUUGGAGUGGCUAUUUGGCGGAUUUGGUUCUGGCGAAAUCAUUUUAUUUUUACUAAGGAUUAUUGGGAUAGCAAUAGUAUUGCAAUGGAUAUCAAAGUCAGGGCUGCUGAAAUUCUACGAAGUAAUUCCUGCUCCUUUGCUGCUGGUAUAACCCGUAUCGAAAAAUGGAUUCAGUGGACUGCGCCUGUUUGGCCUUGGGUUAAAUUAAAUACAGAUGGUGCCAAGAAAUCUUCGGCGAUUGUAGGAGCUGGUGGACUAAUCCGUGACUUCAGAGGUGUUUGGCAAGUAGGCUACAGUGCAAAUUUAGGUGUUUGCUCGGUGACUUCAGCUGAGCUCUGGGGAUUAUUUCAUGGACUAUCUAUCGCUUGGCAAUAUGGGUUCCGCAGAGUGUACGUGGAAGUAGACAGCAUGUGUGUUAUGAGGUUAAUCUCCAAUCCAAAUCCUCCUAUCAAUGAGCAUUUUACUCUCAUUCAGGAAAUCCAAGCACUCCUCCGGCGUGAUUGGCUGACCAAAGUGGAGCAUAUCUAUCGAGAAGCCAAUGAAGCAGCUGAUUUCCUGGCUUUGUACAGUUUUUCCUUCUCCUUGGGUUUACAUUGUUUUCAAUCUAUUCCUCCAAAUAUGCUUUGCAUAUUGACUAACGAUGUUCAUGGGGUUGCACACUCCCGUUUAGUGUUGCCUUAGCUCUCUUAUGAGCCCUUUAAUGAUAAAAAAAAAAAUUAAACGAAUCAAUUUUUUAAAUCGAAACCCAUUUAAUUCGCAUAGAAUCAAAUUGAAUAAAACGAAUCUUGACCAAGAUUGCCACUCCUAAUUUUGGUACUUUCCAUUUUUAAUUAGAGUCAUGUAUUUUAUUUACAAUAUAAUUCUAUUUACAACAUAAUUGUGAUUUAGUUUACCUUUUAAGGUAACAUGGGGAAGUAUGUUUACCCUAUUAUAAAUAGGGAGGUAUUGUCAUUGUCAGCUCGAUUUCAAUUAUUUAAUAAAAUCUCUCUUUUAUAAUUCUUUUUGGAAUUAUCUAUCAAAAUCUUUCUUGUAGGAUCGCUUGAAUUAGAAUGAGAUCUAAUUACGCUUCCAUUAGAGCAUAACUUGAUUGCAUUGGUUUAGUCUGGUAUUAUAACGAUAUCUAGUAUUUAUUUACCCUAACAAACCACUUCUGCUACCCUGCUCCAUUACAAGAACUUGAAGGAUCACAAUUGGCCAUGUCAAGGCGCUUAAUCUCAAAGGUCCAACGGCCAAAAUGCUCAAAGGAAAGUCUCGAAAGGUACAAUUAGUCCUGCUAUGCUUGAAUUUCAUGAUUUAAUGCAUUUGGACCUCAGUAACAAUCACUUCGGUGGAAGUCCAAUUUAUGAAUUCGUUGGUUCCCUCUGCAAAUUUGAGGUACCUCAAUCUCUCUUGUGGUACACCUUCAAUCUCUCAUCAAGCUGAAGACAGUUAAAUUCUACUCUGCUAUUGAUCAAUGUUAGCAGUCUUCUUUAUUGGGUGAAUAAAUUUAACUGGCAAGCUAUUUGGCAAAUAUAAACAGAUUAAUGGAUUUUUGCAUGCCUUAUGUCCCUUUCUUGGUGUUGACUGAUUAUUAAGAUUAACCCGCAAACGGAGCAAACUUCAAAAAAUAAAAGAGAUCUUGCUAAAAUUAUUCAAAACGACGUAGUGGACAUAUGCAUAAAGCUAAAACACACAACUACAUAAAAAUUAAAAAAAAUUAAGCUGCAUCUGUAGCUUGGAAAUCCAUUUGCGCGUCUCACCACGCGAGAGAAGAAAAGUAAACCCAAACUAGCUAUCAAGUGAGUACCAACGUUUGAUUCUACAAUGGUACAUAGUAAUAACAGAAAAAGAGAAGAGAAAAAAAAUCUAUUAAAAUUAGUUAAGUAAUAUUUAAUCUAUUCCAUAAUCUUACAAACAAAGUACGUGAUAGGUUCGUAUAUAAUCUGAUUCAAGAUCAUUCGUAAUAAAAUGUGCAUGAAGAGAUAGAACUAUACAAGAAUUCGCUCUUAUUGUAUUCGAAUUGGUUAUUCGUAAUUUGUUUCUUUUACUUUUUAUUUUAUAAUUUUUUUUAUAGAAUAUGGUACUUUAGGUUGAAAUUUUGAAUUUCAAAUAUCUUAUCGUUUUUUAUUUUAUUUAUAUAUUAAUUCAAUUUUUUAAAAAGGAAAUAAAUUCUAAAAUGAGCCAUUGUAUUAAAAGGCUUGGCUUUAUAAAAAUAGCUCUUACAUUAUUUUUCAAAACACUAAAGGCGAGGAAAAAAAAAAAGACUAAACGCAAAAAUGGUUUUAGAAAGGCAAGAGGAGAAGAUUUUUAUGGUGUUUUUCAAUAAAAAGAGUUUUUGAGUUUUGAUACAUGGUCUUGAAGGAAGGAGAUUAAAACCAAUAUGUAAUUAUAAUCUUUUGAAAUUUUGAUUUUAUUCAAGAUUUUAUGUGAUAGAUUGAAUGGCUUUGUGUGUAAUAUCAAUGAAAUUGUUAAAGCAUGAUGUAUCAUUGACUCCAUGUUGUAAUUGAAUGGAAGUUGUGUUUUUGUAUUAUUCUGAAAAAUUAUGAACAGUGUAGAUUGAAUGCUAAAUAACUGCUGCUUUCAUUGAGUCUUAUGCAUGAAACUUUAUAAUUUAUUAAACUAGAUAUCAUUAGCUUUCUAUUGACAUGAUUAUUGUUUAAAAGCUCAUGGUAUAAUAAUUGUAAUAAUUUUUUUGAAUUUGGAAUACUGGUGCUGGAAAAUGCCAAUUUUUAGCAGCAGUUCUCAAUUCCUAACUUUAUUUCGUAACUCAAAUUACUUCUGAAAAUUAUGGCAACUUCUAUUAUGUUACAUAUGUAUGUCUAAUUUCUGUAUAUGUUUCGUAAUUUUUAGGUUUAUAGAAAAAUCAUUAAAAAUCAUAGAGUUGGGAUGCUGUAAUCCUGGAAACUGUUCUCCAAAAUUACUAAGACUGAUAUUGAAGUCACUUUGGAUUAUUGUUUCAUCACUAAAUGCCUUAUAAAUUUUAAUUUUGAUUUCCUAUUGUUUUCACUAUUGAUAAAACUUGAAUUACAAUUUUGUAACAUGUGUACUUAAAGUUAUGAAUUUUUAAAUCAACAGACCUCUGUUUAUAUCACUACUAUUUUUUGACAUUUUUGUGAAAAAUUAUUCAGGGAUGUUUUUGAACUCUGAUUAACUUUAUGAUGUUUUAUAUUGAAUGCCAUGCAUGUUCAUAGUAGUUCCUUUUAAUAUUUGUGAUUUUCCAACAGAAAAUAGCUCGUAUAGGAUGGUUGGGUGUAGUUUAGUGAAUGGAUAUACUUAAGUGAGUGCUAAUGGUUUAAAGAUGCUUGACUCUCCCAUCAAGGUUAGAAUUGAUAAUGUUAUUGAUGAGAAUCUUGUCUUGAUAAUUAUAGGCUAAUCAUGAGCUAGUAUAAUUGAGGUUAUUGAUUGAUUGCUUCAGAUCGAAGUAAGAGAAUUAAUGCAAAAAGUUUAAUAUCUACAUACAGAAAGAAUAUUGUUUAUAUUGAGUUAGCAUUUUAUGGUAUUAUUGCCACUAUAUAUUUUCUAAAAUUAGAUAUAUAUUAAUUACAAUAUAUUUUAGUCAAAUGAACCUCUUUUAAAAUUGUACUUUUCAAAAAAAAAUUUCAAGUGACUUUGAAAAAUAUUUGAUUUUCCAAUAAUUUAUUUACCUAAAAAUACUUGAAAAGCUUUGCCAAAUAAAUGUCUUACAACAUUAUUGAUAGAUUAUUGAAUGAUUGAUAUUGAAAGAUUAAAAAUUACUUUUAAGGUUUUGGCUCAUUGUCCGUAGUUAUUAUUAUUGACACGACUGAACAACUAGCUGUAUUACCAUUACAAUUAUUAUGGGGUACAAUACCUUGAUUGAUUAAUUGGCUGGAUCAUCGGGAUUAUAGGUGAUAUAUUAAUUGUUGGGCCACAAGAUUAUAGGUGAUAUAUUGAUUAGCCGAGUCAUCGAGAGCGCAGGUGACACUAUGUGACAUGAGCAAUUGAAUAAAGGAAAUAUUUUAUUGUUAAAUGAUUUCUUAGAUGAUUAAAUAUUGAAAAUGAUUAUUACAUGAUGACUUAACUUAAAAUGAAUUUUAUCAUACUCAUGCAAUAGAUUGUAAAAUCAAUAUUGUUUUCCAAUUUAUGGUUCCUUAUAAUGAUUAUUAUGUGUUUUAUCGUUAUUGGUAACCUCAUACAUGAAUUUACUUACCAAGUUGAUGGCUCACCCCUCGUCUCUAACAUUUUGCAAGUUAAUUUUAGAGAUGUGGGGUUUUUGGUUUAGAGAAGAGGAUUUUUUAACUAACACAUUUUCGUUGAUGAAUAAAUUGUCAUUAUUUUGGUUAUUGUUCAGAGUUGAAUUUGUUUUGGAUGAUUAUUGUUAUAUUUAUUAUUUUAGAGAUUUUAUUUUGACAGUGGACAAUAUUGAUUUUUCUGAAAAUAUUAAUAAGAUUAAUAUCACAAGGUUUCAUUCCCAAUUCCUCUUGUAAAUUAUAGGGUGAAUUUGGGUUAUUGCAUUAUUAAUUAAAUUUCUACAUAGAUGACAUUACAAAGAUGUUGAUCAAAGACUAAAAUAUUUCAAAGUAAUGUUGUUAGGGUGCACCAAAUUUAAAACCUUACUACUAGUAUAAAUAAUUAGUACAGAGCGAGUAAGGAUCGAUCCCACAAAGACUAUGCUAGUUGUAUUUAUUAUCAACUCUAAAGUAGAACUUAAAAUAAAAUAAUAAUAGGAAUAAUAAUAUAAAUUAAUCUAACUAAAGAAAAUGCCAACUAAAAAUAGAGAAAAGGGGGUUUUUGAAAUUUUAACUAAAUAGCAAGAAAUAAAGAAAUUAAAACUACGAAAACAAUAAUUUAAUAAAAACUCUAAUUAAAGGAGAAAGAAAUAACAAUGAGAAAAACUUUGGUUAAAAGAUCAUUCGCCACCACCAAACAUGCACAUAAUAUAUCAAUUAUAUCAUUAAUUUAUAUUGAAACUAUCAACCGUAGACAACAAUAAGCUCUGUUAGUCUCAAUCUUUCCUUAGUAUGUCGUUAGGCAAAACAAGCUCUUCAUCUAAUCUCUAACUAUUAAAUAAUUUAAAAUAAGCUCUUUAAAUUUAAGAUAAUGGAAGCAUUAAGUAGAGAAAGAUAUUAGGUUGAUUUAGGCAAUAAACAAACAAGCUCAGAUUAUUUAACCUAGGUUAUGUUCUCCAAUCGAAAUCACUGAUUCCAACCUACUACUAAUGAUUAAAAUAUCAAGACAAUUAUGGAUUAAGAAUUUUAAUCUAGCAAUAGAAUUUAUUCAAGUUCUAUCUAAUUGGCCACUCAAAUAAGACAGGAAUGAAAUCAUAAACAUUAAUUAUAGAAGAACAUAAAUAAUCUCAAUUAAAUAAAUUGAAUGAUAGAAAUUAAAAAAUUCAAUUGCAUAGCAUGUUUAGGGUUUUGAAUUCACCCUCAACCAAAUAAAAAAUCUAGCCUAACAUAAUUAAAUUGAGAAUAAAAAAGUUAAUAAAACCAGACAUAGAGAUUAAUUCAAACAACUUUCUCCUCUAUUUUUUCUCUUCUACUUUUGGGCUGCAAAUUGUUUUUGUAUGUGUAGCUGCCGAUCCUCCUAUUCUCCUCUAAUUCUGCCGCAAGUCUGGCUUUUAUAGUAGCUUUUAUUGUGCGCCUUAAAUCCUCGCAUGGAAAGGAUUAAAAACAAAAGCCAAGCCGCCACUUUUUGUUCACGCAUGCACAUAACUUGUAGAAUUAAUUGGCCAAUGAAUAUUGUUAAAGCCAAAGCCCAUCACGUGCUUGCCAUUUAAAGCCAUGCCAAAAUAUUUGCUUCCUCAAUUAAUCACAAUAUAUGUUUCCCAUGUGAUUGCAUGCAUGUUGAUUAAUCAAAUUAAAUCUUUCUUUCAUGAUCUCUUGUGUAUUUUUAUCUCUCAAUCUUCAAUUCUUUUCCUAUUCUGAUUCUUUCAAUGAAAUUUCUUUCCUGAAUGCUCCGAUUUAAUUUCUCUUUAAUCCUAGAAUAUAUCUAAAAUAAAAAAAAUAAAAAAACUAAGAUAAAAAUUAAUACAAUAAAAUAUAAUUUUAACAAAAUAACUAAAUUAAAAAUUAACUGAAAUAACUAGAAUAUUUAAGAUCAAAACAAGAAAAAGAUGGAGAAAUUAAUAGCAAAAUAUAUGAAAAAUAUGCACUUAUCAGAAGACUAAGAGUGCGUUUGGGAGUGAGGUGCUGAAACUUUUAAGCUGCAGCUACAGUGAAGUAAAAGUUAUAGCUGUGGAGUAGAAGCUGAUGAUAUUUGAUAAAGAUGUUGUAGCUUUUAAGCUGCAGAAGCUUAUAGUGUUUGGUAAAUACAUGUGUCUAGUAUUUUCAAUUUUAAUUUCAUAAUUUUUUUAUAUAUAUAAUUUUAUAAAAAUCCCGGGACCCAUAUUAUUAAGUUAAGACACUGUGAGAAAAUUUUGAAUUUAAUAAGAAAUAAAUAGUUUUGAAAAUGUUUUUGGUAUUGGAUCCUCCUAAAAAUUUUAUUGGAGAUACCCAUGGAUGUCGAGAAUAGAUCUAUGUAAUUUUGUGUCAUUUUGAUUAUUAGAUUAAGAGUUAAAAUUCAGAGAAUCAGACUUCUACGGGUAUGAAUUAGAAAAUUAAGAUCUUGGAAUAAGUUGUUAAUAGUUAUUUCUUGUAUUUGUUUAAAGUAUUGGAGGUGUUUGAGAUUGUUAGAGGCUUAGAGGUGUGUUUAAAUAAUUGCUUUUAUCGAGAUAAGUAACUCUAUUCCUAAUGUACUGGAUAUCUAAUGUACUAGAUAUAUAUGAUAAUUUUGAUAUUUCAAUAUUAUUACAAGUACGUGUGUUUUCUUAGUUCUUCAUAACAAAAAUAAUUGAUGUGAGUGUUUUUAAAUUUGAAAAUUAUGCCAUUUUUAUGGUUUUAACAAAAUAUUAUAAAUGCCUUAACAUGUGCAAUUUAUUUUGCUAGAUAAUUAUAUUUUUGAAAUUGUCUGUAAAAUGUUAGAAUGGAAAUUGUUCUGCAAGCCUAAAUCAUUGUUAUGAUCAUUUAUGAAUCUAAUAUGAAUAUUAUGUUCACGUAUUCGAUUAAAAUUAUCUAUGAAAAUUUAUGCAGGGGCCACCUUUUGAGACUGUAUGGAGGCCAUAUCUCGAGGACUAAAGUGUCGCGUAUAGUAUAAAGUACCACGUGUAAUUUGCUACAAAGGAAAAAUAAAUUUAAAUGUUUUGGUUCAUUGUCCGUAGUCAUUUUGAUUCUGUUAUAUACUUACACACACACACACACACACACACCAGUAUUGAGUUUCUAUUCUGAUUGUGUCUAUGAUAUUCUUAUUCUCAUUCUAUUCCAGCCUGGUCAUCGAGAGUAUAGGUGACACUAUGUGACAUGAGCUAAUCUUUUGUGUCCUGUAUUUAUAUAUUAAGUGAUUUGUUUCUAUGAUUAAUUAUGAUCUCGAUAUUCUGGAUAAUUUAUGAAUUUGUCCUUAUGUUAUUAUAUCUCAUUGUAAAAUUUAUGUGAUUUGUUGUGAUAUAUAUAUUGGUAAACAAGGCUUGCAAUACUUUUGGUAUCGGAUAUCCCUGGGGUGUUAGGAAUGAUUUUACUUGCCGAAUUGAUGGCUCACUUCUCGUCAUUACUUUUUGCAGAUUGAGUGACUUGUUGAGAGAUGUGCUUAUCUUUGGAGUUAGAGAUUAAUUUACUUUUGCUAGUUGAAUAAAAGAAGGACGAAUUUCUAUUUCUUUUAAGCUUGUUAGUCUUCUGAACUUGUAAUUGGAGAAUUUUGAAACUUUUGUUACAUUUAUGAUUUGGGAGAGAAAUGCCAAGUAUUUGACUUCUGGAUUUGUUGAUUUGUUUAAUAAAAUUUGAGAUAUUUCAGUUUGAGAUUUUGUGUGAGGAUUUCAAUAUGUAAGUAAUCUCCUACUAUCACGUGCUCCACACGUGUUAAAUUUGGAGUGUUACAAUUGUUAAGCUUUGCAUAUCCAAAUUGAUUAAGUUGAAAAAUAGGGUAAGAUGAUAGGAUUCUAGGGUUUUACUUAGAGAAUUCAAGAGAGAAAAGAUGAGGAAUUUAAGAAUUCAUAGGGGAGAGAGAAGAAUUAACAGGGGUUAGAAUUAAUUUUAUUAUUGCUUGCUUAAAAACAUAAUGAGAGCCACUUACUUAUAGUGGCUCAACACAUUCCUAAUUCUAAUCUAAUUAGAACCUUAAAUUAUAAUUGUAAUAAGAAAACCUAAUCCUAGUAGGAAAGAAAAAAUAAACCACUUGGGUUCUGUAGAGAUUUGAUUGAACUGCUAAUCUUAUAAAACCAAAACUCUGCCCAUGAUCUUUGACUAAGAUCAACAGAAGUAGCACACAAGCAAUAAAAUUGAACCAGAAUCUAUUCAAUAUCCUCUCAAAAGACUUAACCACUCAACAACAGAAAUUAAACAACAGAAAAGAAUGAAUCAGAAACAAAAUCACAGAGAGAGCAAGAGAUAACGUGGUCCAAUCUUUUUCAAGACUUACAUUCCCGAGUGAAAACAUCAGAGAUUGUUUUUUUGAUCGAUUCAACGAAGAAACUACAAGUACUCAGAAUUGAGGAUACAGAGCUUAAGAAUUAGUUUUCUCUCUCCAAGAUUCUCUCUCGAAUACUCUCGAAUCACUUCCCCAGGUGAGGUGCAAAACCAGCUUUAUAUUACAGGGGGAUAACAGAACAAUGAACCCAGAUAGCACAGCCCUCUUCCACGUGCCCAAGACCGUUAAAAGAACAGGGAUGCACUUAAGUGACCACGUGACUUAGCACGCGCAAUUUCUUGAAUCUGUUAUGAGUAAAACGCAAGCUUUAACGUCGUUUACAGUUAGUAAUCACGAGCUCCCUGACGUGACUUCAUAACGGAUUUAACCGAUGGCCCAAUACGCUGCCGUUUGCUCUGGUUUGUGUUUGAAUUCAUUGACUCUACAGGUUCUAAUAGAUUCUUUUGUUUCAAAAUGAAGAUUGAAGAUCAUCCACGGCAGUAGGAGAUUUAAGUUGGAAGACUUAUGGUGUUGACAGUCUUUUUGCUUUUAUUUCCAGAAUUUAUUUCCUUCUUUGCAAGUUGUGUUCUCUCAAGACUCGCAGCUCCGCCAAAUUCUGGCGUGAAGGCUUAUCACCUUCCUCUUUAAUGCAGGUUUGCAGCCCACAUCAGUCGCCAGUUGGAGUCAAAUUAAUGAAAAAUUUAGGGUCGUGUAAUUGGUCUCAUGCAUCCACAAAUUUGAUAAAUUUUAACUCACAAUGGGUAUAAACUUAUGGUGAUUUAAUAAGAAUGCAGUGAAGAAUUAAGAGAUAUUCAAGUGCCUGCAAUUGUGUUGGUUUCCCAAAUCCCAACCAAUCCAACAUUUCAGGAUAAGGCUUUUUGUUUAAAUUAAUAGCACAACGUGCCAGAGGGAUAGUCCAAAUUCUUGUUGCGUUCUCUCAACUCUCAAUUCUCAUGAUAUUAGUUAUAGCUUCGUAAAGAACAUUUGGCAACAUCAGAUGGAGGAAUCUGAAACAGAGAUGGCGUCAUUGCCCUAUGAUUGAGGCUUUGAAUUAACUCUUUCCCAGCAUGUUUCUUUGAUUCAUGAGGAUAUACAUUCUCUUUUUUUUUUCAUAAUACAUUAAUUAAAUCUUAUACAAAUGGAAGAAGGAAGCAAGAAAAGUAAAUCAAACAUUGAACAUGACAAGGUACAAGAAGCAAGCAAGUCUCAGGUAUCAAGCUUUCCUAGGCGACAACCAAGUUCAACAAAGCAAAGGUGAAGCAAGGCAAACAAGAAUUCAAGCCGCACGUCAUAGACUCACCAAGCUUCAACACAGUGAACAAAUCAAGGCUGCUUACCAGCAUUUGUUGUACAAGCAAACUUCUCAGUUUUAUGUCACAACAGAUGGUAUCUCGUGUUCUUGAGUAGAGAAGAUACAAUAAUAUUUACCAUUAGAAUCUGCUAUCAACUCUGUUAAAUCGAAUUUUCUCUAAUAUUUACCAUUAGAGUAGCAAAGCUAUUAACAUCUCAAUUUUCUCUGAAUGCUCCAUGAGAAUGGUAUUUAUGUUAUGAUCCAACUCAAACCUGGCAAGAGGAUAUUGCCUGUUUUGAGCCUUAACAAGGCCGCAUGGUUUUGUUUCUAGGACACCCAUACAUCCUAAAACGCAUAUUAUCAAUAAAGGUGUGGAUCAGCUCUUAUAAACCCAACAUCUCUCUUGUACUUUGUCGAUGUGAGAUUUGUCUUGGGUGUUACAAUUCAGGUGCCAUUAAUCCAAAUUUGGCGAUUGUGUGAAGUACUCUUAUGCGUAUUUUAACCUCUGAAACAAAAACUGGUGACAUGGAGGUAUUACAUGCAUUGUCAUUAAAUUAAUAUAAGCGCUAAUCUCAAAGUAUGUGUUGUAUGCAUGUUCUUAAUGUGGCUCACAUUCAUGAGUUUGAGAUUAAUUAAGACUACUCACAUUUUUAUGAUUAGAUAAUGAUAAGAAUAGUUGUUCCAUAUUUCUAAAAAAUUAAGAUAAGGAUAAUUUCUCAUUUUCUUGAUGGAGGGAAGUGAAUGAAGUCCGUUAAAUAGACUAAGGGUCCUUAGCCUAGCCUACAUAUGACUUUCCGUGAGAAUUACCCAUCGAAUUAAAGGCUAUAUAGAGGAAUAGACUAGAAAAUUCUAACCAUUUUUUAGAUUAACUUAAAUAAUAAUGACUGGAGGUAGAGGUACGUAACUUAUUUAAGUUUAUAAUCUAAAAUAUAUUUGGAAAAAUGCUUUUUUCAUCCCUAAGGUUUGAAAUAGCCUAUUUUAUCCUUACUAUUUAAAUAAUAGUCUAUUUCAUCCCUAUUUUUUAAGCAAUAGCCUGAAACACCAUUUCAUUAAUUUACUGUUAUUAUACUGUAUAAUUCAUUGAGGGCAAAAUAAGAUUUCUAAAUAAUGAUCAAUUAUUUUAAAAUAAACUCUCAAACACAAAUAAAAAAUAUAUGUCUUUCUAUAUAAAUUUAAAAUUUAAGGAUUACUUAAGAAAGAAAAAAAUAACAUUAAAUAAUAUGUAAAAUAUACAUUUAGGACAAAAAACAAACCAUAGAUUUCACAAGCACUAGAUUAUUUUUUUUAUCCUUUAGCUUAUUCUUAACUUUAAUAUGGUCGAAAUAAAUAAAUAAAUAAAUGAUCAAUCAGUACUGUUAUUAUACCAAAAGUAAUUAUGGACUCCUUUAUUUACUUAAAAAAAAAUACACACUAAAUACAUAACAAACUACAUUUCAAAAUACUGCAGAAUAAAAUAUAAUGCAUUGGAUUUUUUUUUUUUAAUCUUUUAGCUUAUUCUUGACCUUAAUAUAAACAAUGAUUCUUGAUGAAAAGAAUUAUUAUUAUUAUUAUUUUGUUAACUUUAUUAAAAAAAGAAUUUAAUGAACACAUGUGUGUGUGUGUGUGUGCGUGUGUGUGUGUGUGUUGCAUAUUCUUUAGUAUUAUUUUUGUUUCAUUAAGUUAUACUUAAAUUUUAAAUUUAUGCAAAAAAGUCAAAUGUUAUUCAAUUAUUCUUGAGAUUUUUAUUUUAAAAAGCUUUAUAUACUUAUUUAACUAAAAAAUUUUAUUUUACUCUCAAUGAAUUUCAGAGUAAACUAAUUAUAAAUUCACGGAAAGAUAUUUUAAGCUAUUAUUUGAAAAAUAAGAAUGAAACGAAUUAUUUUUAAAAAAAUAAGGAUAAAAUAAGCUAUUAUCUUAAACCCUAAGGAUGAAAAUAGCUUUUUUCUAAUAUAUUUCUAUAUAUAUUUUUAAGCUACAGAACGGAUGAUGUGAUGCAUAUGUACGUGCCUCUAUUCAGCAAAUUCAGAGAAGCAUUAUUGCAAAGUCAACAGUUAACUGUUCAAAGUCAGCGGACAAUUAUGAAAAUUUCUAAUUUCAAUGGCAGCAAAGUCGGGGGAAAAUUAAUUGUUCAAAAUCAAUAUAUAAACAUGGUGGCCCUAGAUAAGAAGAUAACAUGCACGAUAAGGAUAAACAAUUACCCUAAUCUUUCUUUUGUGGACAUGUUAAUAAAAUAAAGACAGAUUGUGAAAGAGGACGUAUCUAUAGAUGGUUGAUUCAGAACUUAAUUAAGAUCAUUCAUUAUAUUUAUUUUUAAUUGAGACAGAGCCUCUCAUGUUGGCGUUAAUAUGUAGACAAGUAUGAAUCUGAUGCGUAAUAGUACAUUUGCAAGUUUGUUUAAUUAAUUGUUAAGUUGAAAUAUAAAACAAGUCUUCCCCAAUCAACCACGAAGAAUUAAGACGCAUUUAGUUUUUUAAUCUGAAAUUUAAAAUCAGUCUGAAUUUGAUGGAAGUCUUAACUGAUGGUUUGAAUACAAAUAUCUGUAUGAUAUGUUUUUUUUUUAAUAUCUAAAUAUAAUUGACAUUAUUUUUGUUUCUAUAACUAAAAAAAUCUUAAAUAUGGUGUUUAACAUUUAUAUCCUUGUAAGUUAAAAUGAAUAAAGGGAUUAGGUUUUAUAGUUUAACAAAUAAGUAUAUUUAAUAGAAAUGUUUUGGGAUAUAAUAUUUAUUUAUUCAUGCCUUUUCUUAUUUAGAUAAAAGUCACAAAAGUUUAGUCUUUUUUUUUUUAAUUCAAAUGUAAAUGUUUGAAAAUCAGAUAUAAAUUAAAAAAAUAAACGAGCAAUUUAAAAAAAAAUCAAAUUAAAAAAAAUCAAAUUUUAGACAUUUAACCAACAAGCCUCCAUUUCAUCUUGGUCAAUGAGAGUCGUUGGCUACCACGAAAUUUCUGAUCCCUGUCUAGUAUGGGCGUGCCAUGAAUUAACCCAAGCGUUUUAAUUUUUGCCUUAAAAAAAUUUCCAUUCUCUGCUCUAGAAAAUUGAAAAAAAAAAGAAAAGUAAAACAUAGUUCACGUUGGUAUUAUUAUUAUAUUAGCAUUAUAAACAUCUCAACCGUUUAUUCGCUAACGCAGUAUCAAUCACCAUCGGUUGUUCUUCUACUGAUUAAAAUACAGAUUUAAGAGCAAAGCAAUUUGAAUGCUUGUAAUUGUUACUCUUGUAUCCAAUUUUCCCCAGGAAUUACAGGAUCAACAAUCCCAUCAAACAUAUUACUUUCAACUUGUCUUUAACUGGGGAAAGCAUUAAUAAAUUAUCAGGACAAGCUUCUUAUAAGUAAAUUUCUGCCCAAACAAAACAUCAAGUAACGACAUCUACCAAAACUAUAAACAUCAUAGUUCUCUCAUUUUCAAUAAAAUGUGUUUUAUUUUGUUUGGGUAAACGUAUACCAAAACUACAUUUUCAAUAAAAUGUGUGGUUACCAUUUUGUUCUAUACUACAUUUUCAUUUUGUGUGGUUACCAUUUUUCCACGGCAAGAUUACAUGGAUGUUGAUUGUAUGAUUUUCUUUAUCCAUGCUCUGCAUUGUUGCGUGUUUGGGAUUCGCCGGCGAAGACUUUUCUUGGCUUUUCUUGACUAAAUGCUCUGCAUUUAGUCAUCUCUCAAAAUGUCAUAUCCUAACACAUAAUCAACGCUCAGACUGAAGACUUUUCUUGGCUUCAAUAAUUGAUGCAGAUUAUACACAGUAGUAUAAAUUGGCAUGGAGUCCAGGAGUUUCGAUAUAACAAUAUAUCCUCAAAGCUAAUGAUAAUUAUAAUGUCAUCCAAAUUGUUCCUUCUAUUUGAAAAUAUAGCUCUGUUUUCUGUGUUGUUUUUUCAAUUGAAGCCCACAAUUGCUGAUUCUAACAAAAAAACGAUAAAGUGCAUUGAUGAGGAGAGAGAAGCGCUUCUCACUUUUAAACGGAGCUUGGUGGAUGAACAUGGCGUUCUGUCUUCCUGGGGAAGAGAAGAUGACAAAAGAGAUUGCUGUAAAUGGAGAGGAGUCCACUGUAGCAACACAACUGGCCAUGUCAAGGUGCUUAAUCUUCGAACAUCCGACGAGGAAAACGCUCAGCGGAAGGCCUUGAAAGGUGAAAUUAGUCCUGCUUUGCUUGAAUUGCAUGAUAUAAGACAUUUGGACCUUAGUAACAAUCACUUCAGUGCAAGCCCAGUUCCUGAGUUCAUUGGUUCCCUCAGCAAAUUGAGGUACCUCAAUCUCUCUUGUAGCAUACCUUUAGAACUCCCUCGUACAUUGCGGAACUUUUCAGGAUUGGAAUAUCUCAACCUGGAAAACUCUCAUUUAUUUAGCGUGGGAAGCUUAGAGUGGCUUUCUCGUCUUUCUUCUUUAAGACACCUUGACCUGAGUUACAUUAAUCUCACUAAAUCUAGAGAUUGGUUUCAAGUAGUUGCCAAGCUCCGUUCCCUAAAAACAUUAGUCCUACGCUCGUGUGCUCUUCCACCUAUCAAUCCAUCGUUUAUUUGGCACUUCAAUUUGAGUACGUCUAUUGAGACCCUUGAUCUUGCUGACAACAAUCUCCCUUCUUCUUCAGUAUACCCUUGGCUUUUCAAUCUUAGUCGGAAUAUGCUUCAUCUUAACCUUGGCUCUAAUUCAUUACGAGGUUCAAUUCCAGAGGCUUUUCAACACAUGGUUUCUCUUAAAAGUCUUUGUCUCUCUGCUAGUGAACUUGAAGGUGGGAUUCCAAAAUUCUUUGGAAACAUGUGUAGCUUAAAAAAGUUUGGCUUGCCUUACAACAAACUCAGUGGACAAUUCUCACAGGUAAUUCAAAAUCUGUCUUGUGGAUGCGUGGUGAAUUCACUAGAGGGGCUAUAUUUACAUGAUAAUGACUUCACGGGGCCAGUACCUCAUCUUGGAGGAUUUUCAUCCUUGGAAGCAUUGAAGCUUGACAUUAAUCGUUUGAAUGGAACUAUAAACGAAAGCCUCAGCCGCUUGUUCAAGCUUAAGACUCUGUCAUUUGAUAGGAAUUCAUUCACAGGAGUUAUCUCUCAAACCUUUUUUUCUAAUAUGUCCAACUUGCAGGAGUUGUUUUUAGCUGAUAACUCUUUGACUCUGAAAUUGAGUGAUGAUUGGGUUCCUCCCUUUCAACUGAAACGUUUAAGUAUCGCCUCUUGCAAGAUGGGACCUCAUUUUCCAAAAUGGCUUCAAACUCAGAAUCAACUUGUGCAUCUUCACAUCGCCAAUGUUGGAAUCUCAGACACUACUCCUGAUUGGUUCUGGGAUCUGUCCAGUAAACUCUCGUACUUAAAUCUCUCUAACAAUCAUAUCAAUGGUAAACUUCCCGAUUUGUCUUUAAGGUUUAAUGGUACUCGUAUUGGUGGUACUUGUAUAGACAUCAAUUCAAACCACUUUGAGGGCCCAAUUCCACCACUUCCUUCAAAUUCGCCGUUCUUAAAUCUCUCUAAAAAUAAGUUCAUAGGGCCAGUUACUUUCUUAUGUUCUAUCAGUGAAAACACAUGGAACUUUUUAGAUCUCUCGAGUAACUUAUUGUCUGGAGAACUUCCUGAUUGUUGGUUGCACUUUGAUAGCCUAUUCGCUCUUAACUUGGCAAAUAAUAGCUUCUCAGGAAAAAUACCAGACUCGAUGGGUUUCCUAAAUAGCAUCCGGACACUGAAUUUACACAACAAUAGGUUAACCGGGGAAUUGCCUUCAUCUUUAAGGAAUUGCUCCCAACUGAGAGUUUUGGAUCUCGGGAAGAACACAUUUUUUGGUGAGAUACCAACGUGGAUAGGGGAAAGUCUACAAAAUUUGAUUGUUCUUAGCCUAAAAUCUAACAAAUUUCAUGGAAAUAUACCUUAUCAAUUGUGCCAUCUGGGAUUUAUUCAAGUCUUGGAUCUUUCUUUUAACAAUAUAUCAGGAAAGAUACCAACGUGUUUCAAUAAUUUUUCAGCCAUGACCUAUGAAAGAUGUUCCAAUCCUACCAUUGGGUUCGGCAAAUACAUCUUAGUUCCCCCUAGAACUGGAUACUACUAUAAAUAUUUGGUCAAUUUACUGUUGACUUGGAAAGG